UUUUUAUUUCUUUUCUUUUCUUUGGGGAUCGAUAGAAGACCAUAAUUAAAAUAUUGAAGUGGCUCUUAUAUGCAUUAUUGUUGAUUUAACCAAGAGCCCAUAUUACCUUGUGUUCUCCUGUUUAUUGAAUGCUCGCAGAUUCCAGCUUAGUCCAAUACACAUGCACUAUUAUUAUUAUUCACAUCGUUCGGUCGUGCAAGUGAAAGGCAAUAAUGAAGAUAUAUGAUGAAUUGAUUGAGAUGAGAAAAGCUGGUAUGAACUCGACCUCUCUUGUUUUUUGUAAAUAUGAUUAGUUCAUCGUUCCUGAUUCAGCCUAUUAUGAAUAAACAUGUUUGCAAUGACAAUUAGAGAUUAUAGUUGCUUAUGCCAUGCUUAAUUAGGUAUGAGUUAUAAUGGUUUACCUUGCGUGCCAACAUGCUAUUAAAAUGGUUGUGAUAUGGUAUGAUGGGGUGGUAUCCUCCUUUGAAUGAUUCAAGUGACUUGACUUGGCACAUGUUCACGCAUGUAGUUGAAACAAAUCAACAUAGCCUUCACGAUAUUUCUGUUCACGGUGGAUUAUAUCCUACUCAUGCUUGCACCCAAAGUUUAUUAAUUUUAAUGCAUGUUCAUGACUGUUGUCGCUCCCUAGUUGGUCGCUUCCUAGUCUUUUGCUAGCCUUCACUUGUACUAAGAGGGAAUACUGCUUGUGCAUCCAAUCCCUUAAACCCCAAAGUUAUUCCAUAUGAGUCCACUAUACCUUCCUUUAUGCGGUAUCUACCUGCCGUUCCAAGUAAAUUUGUAUGUGCCAAACUCUAAACCUUCAAAUGAAAUUCUGUUUUGUAUGCUCGAAUAGCUCAUGUAUCAACUAGGGCUGUCUGUAUCUUCCAUGUUAGGCGGGUUAUUCUCAAGAGGAGUGGACUCCGCUCCUCAUUCACGAGAAAAUGGCUGGUCACCGGGAUGCCCAGUCCCAUGCUUUAUGCAAAUCAAAUCAAAUUAAUUGCAAACAAAACUCCCCCGGGACUGUUGCUAGUUGGAGGCACUCGUUGUCUCGAGCAAGCCAUGGAUUGAUGCUUGUUGGUGGAGGGGGAGUAUAAACUUUACCAUUCUAUUUGGGAACCGCCUAUAAUGUGUGUAGCAUGGAAGAUAUCGCCAUCUCUUGGUUCUUAUGUUGACAAUGAAAGUAUGCCGCUCAAAAUAUUAUUUAUCUCUGCUUUAAAAUCGAGCUCUGGCACCUCUACAAAUCCCUGCUUCCCUCUGCGAAGGGCCUAUCUAUUUACUUUUAUGUUGAGUCAUCACCCUCUUAUUAAAAGCACCAGCGGGGGAGCACCGCUGUCAUUUGCAUUCAUUACUAUUAGUUUAUAUUGGGUAUGACUAUGACUGGAUCUCUUUUACCAUGAAUUACAAUGUUUAGUCAGUCCUUGAUCUUUAAAGGUGCUCUGCAUUUAUGUUUUGCGGUCUCAGAAAGGGCUAGCGAGAUACCAUCUUGUCAUAUCAUAUCAUGAUUGUUUUGAGAAACUGUUGUUAUCUGAGAUUUAUUAUUAUUGCUCGCUAGUUGAUUAUGCCAUUGACAUGAGUAAACAUGAGACCUAAGUGUUAUUGUGAAUAUGGUUAGUCAUAAUCUUUGUUGAAAACUUGUAUGCUGGCUUUAGAUAUUUACAACAACAAGAGCAAACAGAGUUUGUAAAAGUUUUUCUUUAUCACUUUCAUUUUAUCAACUAAAUUGCUUGAGGACAAGCAAAGGUUUAAGCUUGGGGGAGUUGAUAUGUCUCCGUCGUAUCUACUUUUCCAAACACUUUUGCCCUUGUUUUGGACUCUACCUUGCAUGAUUUGAAUGGAACGAACCCGGACUCACGCUGUUUUCAGCAUAAUUGCCAUGGUGUUAUUUUUUGUGCAGAAAUAAAAGUUCUCGGAAUGACCUGAAAAUCUACGGAGAAUUAUUUUGGAAUAUAUAAAAAUACUGGAAGAAGAAUCCAUGUCAGGGGGGCCUCCACCUGUCCACGAGGGUGGGGGCGCGCCUGCCCCCUGGGUGCGCCCCCUGCCUCGUAGGCCCCCUGACGCUCCACCGACCUCAAAUCCAACUCCAUAUAUUCGUGUUCGGGGAGAAAAAAAUCAGAGAGAAAGAUCCAUCGCGUUUUACGAUAUGGAGCUGCCGGCAAGCCCUAAACUCUCUCGGGAGGGCUGAUCUGGAGUCCGUUCGGGGCUCCGUAGAGGGGAAUCCGUCGCCAUGUCAUCAUCAACCAUCCUCCAUCACCAAUUUCAUGAUGCUCACUGUCGUGCGUGAGUAAUUCCAUCAUAGGCUUGCUGGACGGUGAUGGGUUGGAUGAGAUUUAUCAUGUAAUCGAGUUAGAUUUGUUAGGGUUUGAUCCCUAGUAUUCACUAUGUUCUAAGAUUGAUGUUGCUAUGACUUUGCUAUGCUUAAUGCUUGUCACUAGGGCCCGAGUGCCUAGAUCUGAACCUAUUAUGUUUUCAUUAAUAUAUGUGAGUUCUUGAUCCUAUCUUGCAAGUCUAUAGUCACCUACUAUGUGUUAUGAUCCGGCAACCCCGAAGUGACAAUAAUCGGGACCACUCCCGGUGAUGACCAUAGUUUGAGGAGUUCAUGUAUUCACUAUGUGUUAAUGCUUUGGUCCGGUACUCUAUUAAAAGGAGGCCUUAAUAUCCCUUAGUUUCCAUUAGGACCCCGCUGCCACGGGAGGGUAGGACAAAAGAUGUCAUGCAAGUUCUUUUCCAUAAGCACGUAUGACUAUUUUCGGAAUACACGCCUACAUUACAUUGAUGAAUUGGAGCUAGUUCUGUGUCACCCUAUGUUAUGAGUGUUACAUGAUGAACCACAUCCAGCAUAAUUCUCCAUCACCGAUCCAAUGCCUUUGAGCUUUUCACAUAUUGUUCUUCGCUUAUUUACUUUUCCGCUGCUAUUGUUACAAUCACUACAAAACCCAAAAAUAUUACUUUUGCUACUGUUACCGUUACUUCCAUACUACUUUUCUACUAAAUAAUUUGCUGCAGAUAUUAAGUUAUCCAGGUGUGGUUGAAUUGACAACUCAACUGCUAAUACUUGAGAAUAUAUUCUUUGGCUCCCCUUGUGUCGAAUCAAUAAAUUUGGGUUGAAUACUCUACCCUCGAAAACUGUUGCGAUCCCCUAUAGUUGUGGGUUAUCACCAAGCUUGCCUAAAGUUUCCAAAAUGAAAAGGAGGUACACUUGUGCAUGGCUGUCGCGGUCGCAUCGCACCCUCACACAUUCGCUCCUGCAGGCCGCAAACCCAACCAAGGGAACGCACCCUCACUGACACAUGCUACCGCAUGUGAACAAACCAAACUCAUCCAUCCUACCGCUGACACAUAAUUUUCGUUCAUACAGUAUGUUUAUCCAACCGCAUGUUGGGGCGGAUCCAUACGGCCCGUGCGGUGGUCUGUUGGGGAAAAAGAAGAGGUGAGGAAGAAGGGUUAGGAGACGUAGGAUAUUCACCCAAUAGCCUGAAAUGGUAGACUGACCCAAAUGAUGAAAGUCAGGCGACUUGCAUAACAAUAUAUGUUUUUACACAACAAAAGACCCCUAAAAGAAACAAAAUAAAGAAAAACUAUCACUGCUCGCAGAACGAGACGGCCUCGUCGUCUUUGGCUGCUGGUGCGAACCAUCCGUAGCUGCCGACGUGUGUCUAUGCACCGUGGUUGUCCUCGGCCUCCAGCUACUCAUUCACGCGGAGCGUGCGGGCGCACUGCACGGACGAGAGCACCGCCCGGUUCAAGUUGAGGACGUCCGGUUCCGCCUGCAGGAGGGCCUAAUACGUCUCCAACGUAUCUAUAAUUUUUGAUUGUUCCAUGCUAUAUUAUAUUCUGUUUUGGAUGCUUAAUGGGCUUUAUUAUACACAUUUAUAUUAAUUUUUGGACUAACCUAUUAACCGGAGGCCCAGCCCAAAUUGCUGUUUUUUGCCUAUUUCAGUGAUUCGCAGAAAAAGAAUAUCAAACGGAGUCCAAACGGAAUGCAACCUUCGGGAACGUGAUUUUCGGAACAAACGUGAUCGAGAGGACUUGGAGUGGACGUCAAGCAACAGACGAGGAAGCCACGAGGUAGGGGGCGCGCCUACCCCCUGGGCGCGCCCUCCACCCUCGUGGGCCCCUCGUGGCUCCGCCGACUUACUUCUUCCUCCUAUAUAUACCUACGUACCCCCAAACCAUCAGAAGCGACCACGAAAACCUAAUUCCAUCGCCGCAACCUUCUGUACCCGUGAGAUCCCAUCUUGGGGCCUUUUCUGGCAUCCUGCCGGAGGGGGCAUUCAUCACGUAGGGCUUCUACAUCAACACCAUAGCCUCUCCGAUGAUGUGUGAGUAGUUUACCUCAGACCUUCGGGUCCAUAGUUAUUAGCUAGAUGGCUUCUUCUCUCUCUUUGGAUCUCAAUACAAAGUUCUCCUCCAUUCUCUUGGAGAUUUAUUUGAUGUAACUCUUCUUUUGCGGUGUGUUUGUCGAGACCCGAUGAAUUGUGGGUUUAUGAUCCAGAUUAUCUAUGAACAAUAUUUGAAUCUUCUCUGAAUUCUUUUAUGUAUGAAUGGUUAUCUUUGCAAGUGUCUUCGAAUUAUCAGUUUGGUUUGGCCUGCUAGAUUGAUCUUUCUUGCAAUGGAAUAAGUGCUUAGCUUUGGGUUCAAUCUUGCGGUGCUCGAUCCCAGUGACAGUAGGGGAAACGACACGUAUUGUAUUGUUGCCAUCGAGGAUAAAAAGAUGGGGUUUAUAUCAUAUUGCAUGAGUUUAUCCCUCUACAUCAUGUCAUCUUGCUUAAAGCGUUACUCUUUUCUUAUGAACUUAAUACUCUAGAUGCAUGCUGGAUAGCGGUCGAUGUGUGGAGUAAUAGUAGUAGAUGCAGGGAGUCGGUCUACUUGUCAUGGACGUGAUGCCUAUAUACAUGAUCAUACCUAGAUAUCCCCAUAACUAUACUCAAUUCUAUCAAUUGCUCGACAGUAAUUUGUUCACCCACCAUAAAAACUGAGGGAAAUACUUACGCUACUUUACUGCAUCACCCUUUCCUCUUCAAGGGAAAACCAACGCAGUGCUCAAGAGGUAGCAGACCUCGAUGGCAGCGGCAUCCGCGCGCUCCGCGUCGAGUUGAGCCUCCGCCGCCCAGUUCAAGUUCAGAACGUCCGGUUCCGCAUGUAGGAGAGCCUCUAUGGCAGCGGCAUUCGCGCGCUCCGCGUUGAGUUGAGACUCCGCCACCCGGUUCAAGUCGAGGAGUAUAGUUCCGCCCACAGGAGGGCCUCGAUGGCAGUGGCAUCCAUGCGCUCCGCCUCAAGUUGAGCCUCCGCCGCCCGGUUCACAUCCACGACAUCCGGUUCCGCCUGUAGGAGAGCCUUGAUGGCAGCGGGAUGCACGCGCUCCGCGUCGAGUUGAGCCUCUGCCUCCCGGUCAUCCUUUAGUAUCGCAAGUUGAACCGUUGGUCCGCCUGCACCAUGGGGGACCUGGACGCCGGCACGAAGUCGACGUCAUCGUCUCAUACCCAUCGGGGGCCUUCUGCGCCGCGACCUCCGCCAUGAACAUUGGAUCGGCUUCCUCCUCCUUAUAGCUUGGCUCCAGAGAACUCGGGGAUUGGCCCGCUGCAAAGCGAGCUUGCGAAUGGAGGUCUAUGGCACCGACCGCCGCCGUGAUUUCUGCGCGGCGCUCCGGCGUCAGAAUCUUGUAGUACAUGAUCUUGCGGCGCACCAUGGCUUUCCUGUGAACUAGGGGACGCUUGAUGCGGGUUAGGGGAUCGAAAGGUGGGGGUAUGGGCUGGAGAGGAGGUGUGGUUUUGGGGCAGUGGCUGGCGUAGCCUAAGCAACGAAGGUUCUGGUGUGAAUACUGGUUUCGGUGACGACGGUCAAUCGGUUUUGACUGUACAUCGCUCUUGUCGCGUCCGCGUUGCACCCCGGCACGCUGGACCCUCCACAUCGCUCACCGAAUGGAACGGGCUUUGUCUUGCGUUUUUGCUCGCUUUGGGGCCACACUUGAGAGCAAACCGACGUCCCUCCCCCUCCCCCGCCCGCAUCAUUUACACUACCACUCCCUCCGUUUUAUGUAGAGUAAAUAAAAACAGAGGGAGUAUACUACGGAUGAGGAUCCCCUGACGUGGCCGAACCCAUUGAGUAACUGUCAUGCAGGGCCUAGCAAGCAUGGGGUCCGCCAGUAAGUGAACAAAAGGGAGGGUAAGGCAGGGAUACCUACGUCAGAGGAUCCACUUCCACUACUACUCCCUCCUUCCAUCUACAGGCCUAAUGCGUUUUUCAAGGCUAACUUUGACCAAAUGUUAGAGUAAUAAUAUAUGACAUGCAACUUACACAAAGCAUACGGUCAAAUUCGUAUGUGAAAGGAGCUUCCAAUGAUAUAAUUUUCACAUUGUACAUCUCAUGUACUCCCUCCAUCUAGGUGUAUAAGUCAUCUUAGGUUGUGCACCGCGACCAAGGCGGAGGGGAAAACGAGAUAAACUAAUGUAUUUUUGCUAAUUAGUAGCAUUGCAUGCAAUGAACUAACCACUACAUGUCAUGCUUGUUAGUCUCAAGUCAUUAAAAGCAUGCACGACCUACAUCCCUUAUUGGUUCAUAUGUCACGGAACAAGAAACGAGGAGGGAGUUAAUGUACCAUGCCUAAGUGUUUUGGGAUUAUUUGGUUUUUGUAAGGUGACUUACACACAUAGACGGAGGGAGUACUAUUAAUCUUUCAAUAGUCAAAGGUGGUUUUGAAAAACGCAUUAGAGCAUGGUUAAUAAUAUAGCCAGCCGAUGGCUAUAAGGAACUGCCAUGUCAUCUAUAGCCAUCAUCUAUAUGCACUCAUACAGUAGUGUGGGCUAUUUCCGGCCAAAAAAUAUAUAAGGUUGGCUAUUGUAUUAGUACUUUUUUCCAUCUCCUCUCUAUCUCUUUCUUCAUAUUUAUUGUAUUUAACUAGGAAUGCGUAUAUAGCUAGGCUCUUGCAUGAGAGCUCACUCCCUUACUUUUUCACAUCUCCCUCCUCCACAUAGGCCCUAUAUAAAUGGAAGGAGGGAGUACUAUGAGCACUACAUACUCUACUACAGAUGUUGUCAGUACUCCACUAGUACUAUUGGACAUGGAGCAUAAAAAAGUUACUAUUGGACUGGCUAUACGUGGCGAAAUCCUAGUAGGAAGAGCAUGCGUGAGAACAAGCACAUUCACGUGGUUGGAAACAAAUUGGAAACCAUGUCUGUUUGAAUACAAAUCUAGGAGUACGUACGAAUCUAACAAUAUUGAUUGGGCCUUCUUGAAUGUAGAUACUUUUUUCUGUAAGUUUGAUCAAAGUAGAGAUACUUUGACUACACAUAAAACUUAUAUGUAAACUACUAGAAAGGAUCGGAGGGAGUAUAUUGUACGUUCAAGAGCGAGACGAACAUUGAAUACCCUUUAUAUAUGAUUUGUGGAUGCUAUGAUCACCGGUUCAAAAUUUUGAAUCCGCCUUAGGUAUCACACAUGCACCCACUCGUUCUCUCUCCAUUUCAUCUCGGGGUCCGGAGAUCGAUUGAAACAAGACUAGGGUGGGUACAAUACGUUCGUUUCGCUUAUGAACGUACAAUAUACUCCCUCUGAUCUCCACGGACGCCCCCGGUCAUUUCUAUCAUAGAAACAGACCAAACCUUUAUCUCCUUGCACGACGCGCAAAUGAUCUCUCAACAUCAAUCGAUCUCGUCAAGAUGUGUCGGGGCAUGAACCGAAUGGGAUGUCAAAACUAAGACGGGAAGCGACACGUAGUGGAGGCAAAGUGAAACUUUAAACGAACCAUUUGUUUGUAUGCAUGUCAGACAAAUUACAAUAUUGGAAAUACAAGCAUGGUCUAGGCCCACAUACGAAUGAUACUCGGCGGAAUGUUCAAAUGAGGCAUGCGGGAGCGACACGCUCAUCGUCACUUUACACGGUCGGUUUCAGUGUGCCGAGGGUGGCGUUAGCGUUGUGGCACGACCAGCAGAUCAACACCCGACUCGUCGAGGAUGCACGGGGCGCCGAAGUGCGCGCGCCGCCACGCGUCCACAGAGUGGUGUAGCGUGGCCAACUACAUCCCCAGGACCUGAGACCAUGCCGGGUCAUCUUGCUUUUUCAAUGACAUGUGGGGUCGCAUGUGAGCAAAGGGCAUCUCCAACGUUGCCACGACCGCAGCUGACUACCCUGGCACACCAAAAACCCUCGUCCCUCGCGCCAUCGCGCGGUGCGUUCCCAUCCAGCGCCAGCUGCCCGCAUUCAUGCCGUCCGUCCCUAUGCCGUUGUUAAGAGGCUCGGUGCCCGAGGAACCAACUCCGGUGAAUUAAUGACGCACCCGGACGCUUGGGCUCACUGGAAUGCGCUACUUAAAGCGGCAACGCCCAGCUAAGCUCCACACCAUAGCGCAUCGUCCUGCUACCAGGCACAACAUCCGCCAUGACCGCGAACGCGAACACUCUGCGGGAGAGCUUGUCUUCGGGGAUGAAGCUCGAGGUCGUCGCCCUCGCUCAAGUCGCCGCUCGCGAUGCAAUAGUGGCGUAGCCGGAUGCGGACGCGACUGCACAAGCAGUGGCCACGCUGGCGGCCGACGACGGGAGCACCGUCAGCCAUGCGUCCUACUUGCCGCCGUCCAACGUCCGGCACCGUCGAGGUCGGGGACUCCUCCGAGGAUGAGUAGGGCAUGGGAGGCGGCAGGGCAUGGUGUGCCAACUGGCCAGUCCGUCUCCCGUGUUCUACUCUUCCUCGCCGGAGACCGCACCUUCACUUCACGGGUCUUUAACCCCGCCCCCGUACAUGGAGAUCGCAGAUGGAGGACGACGGUCACCGUCAUAGAAUAGGUUUAGGGUCGGGUUGUCGGCGUUCCGGGAAUGGGGGUCCCCACACUUGCCUGCCUGCGGCCCACGGCGUGGCUAUGCUAGCAGGCCGUACGGCCCAUCUUCAAUGACAAGGCAGUCAAGACCCUCGCGAGGGGCCAACCCUCGCGAGGCGGAUGGCCCAAGACCUCCUCAGGAGCGGCCACGCUGGGCAGGCUCAUGAGGGGCGGAGAGAUCAAGGCAAGGCAAACCUCGCGAGGACUUCGUGACGUGAGUCGUGAUGAUCGACACCAGGCGGGCGCCAGGCAGGCGCCAGCGCGCGCAGCGUCCUUGUUUCCUCUUUGGUGCUAAGGAGGCGGGUGCAGGCGCAGAGUACCGAGGCAUCAAGCAAAGGUUUCCAUUUCGGUGCAACAAGACCGAAGACCAGCAGGACGGCAGGAUGGAGGUCACCAUGCAGCCCAAGACGGCGUCACCACCAGAGCCUUUUGCAGGCGAAGACCACUUUUGUCAGGAUAAGCUGUACUAGCUGUCCCCUUUCAAAUUGGCCGUUGUUGGCUCCCUUCCCGCUCAAUAUUUGGGGAGAGAACCAGGGCCUAUAUAAGUAGAACUAGCCCCCGCAUUAGCGCCAUCUGAUGUGGAGCCAAUCCUUAGCCACACACCAAGCACAAGAACACCUCAACCUCAGGAGGUUGUUCUUUCCCUUGUAUCUGUUGUUCAUCAGCCCAAGAGGCAAUCCACCACCACCACACUGGAGUAGGGUAUUACACCACAACGGUGGCCCAAACCAGUAUAAAUCUCGUGUCUUUCUGUGUUGCGAGUUCGUCCGCGAGAUCUUAGAGAGCUAGGGCGUAGAUCGGUAGGGAGAGAACUUUGCGCGCACCCCAGUGUUCGAACCUUAAGGUUUUUGCGGGAACCCGUGAUCCGACAUUUGGCGCGCCAGGUAGGGGUGCGCCGUAGCUUCCCUCUCAUCGGUUUGUGCUCCGUCGCUCCGCCUUCUCCAUGGCGGACGCUCGCCGUGCUCGUGCUGAGCGCCGGGCCACUCUCGCCACCCGCGUCGCUCAGACGGCUCCCGUUGACGGGCCACCUCGUUGUUCUCCGUCACCUGCCGCCAACGCCGCCACCGGCCCGGCAGGGAACGAGCAGCAAGCAUCCUCGUUGCACCCUUUGGUGCGGCGGGACGGCCGCACCGCCACUCCAUCGCUGACCCCCGCCGGUUCGUCAUCCCACGCUCGUCGCGCUCCGGUGGACCCUCAGGCCGCGCUCGGCCUGGCGCGUGAGCUCCUCUGCUACAGCCCCAUCGACGCCCUCUAUGAGGACUGGCUUGACCGCAUCGCCGAGCUCGUCAGCGUCGCAGGGGGCUCCCCAGCGUCGUCCCUGUCACUGCCACCACUACAAGAAAUAUGUCAACUAGUGACCUUUUGUCAGUGACCCUGGAAGAAUUGGUCAUAGAUCUAUGACCAUUUGAGACCAAUUGGUCAAAAGCUGUUCGGGGGGCUCCAAACCCUAAACCAUUGCGACCAUUUUGGUCAGAAAGGUCGUAAUUUCCUUACACGAAAUGGUCAUAAAGCAAACAACGCUAGUCCGCUGCCUUAUUUCUAGUUGUUAACGACCAAUAUAGAUGGUCAUAGGCUUGUAAAUUGUGGUGGGUUGCGAUGACUAGGCGCCAUCUCAUCAGUUUUGCCUAUGUGUCAUGUCCAUGUGUCAAUAUUUGCCCUAGGUUGUGAAGCAACCUAUAUUUAUGUUAUUCCAAAAAUUCCCAAAAAAAUCUCAUAAAUUGUUUGGAUCAUAUCUUCAUCAAAUAUGUCAAAAACCUUCCUUGCCUAGUACAAAAAUAAUUCAACAAUAUUCAUUUUCCUAUUCUAUUCAGAGCAGCACUUCGUGAAGGAAGUACCACUUUGGCAUGUCCAAAUCGUAUCCAUUUUCUACAGUGCUUUCCUAUGCCCAAAUAACUAUCCUCCACCAAAUGCCAGCUCAAUCCAUUCAUUAUUUUGAGCCCAGCUUCAACAUUCGUAUUUAUGUCCGGUGUGGUACUUUGCAAAGCAAGUACCACCUAGGCUCCUCCUUUUGAGCUGAAAAUUUGUGAAGACGGUCUUCUUAGUAACUGAUCAUCCUCAGCCAAAACUCACGCCCAUUAGCCAUGUACAUUUCCCGUACCGCUAAUCAAACACUUGGCUGCUAAUUCAUGUUUGAGCAUCGAUCGGUCUCCUCGUGAGAAUCUUAUGUUGUCAUUUUCUUGCUAGCACCUACCUGGGGAGUGCCCAACCCAAUAGAAAUGCCUAGGCCGCCCAGAACACAUGGCAACGCCACGGUCACGCGGUGACCACGCGGCGGGCAUGCGAGUUUACGCGCUCUAGAGUUGGGGCCCUCGGCCACCACCCAAACCUCGACGUAUCACCACCAAACCAUGUAUUUAUGAUUAAAUAGGUACUUAUGUAACUAGAAAUGAUUUUUGGAAAAAAAUAGCAAACUAUGAGGCAGCCGCAGUUCAAAUUUGACCCGCUUCGAGCUGAAUCGACGAAAAUUUGUCUUUUUCACAAGAGGUCGAUCAAAACUUUUUACACCCAACCAUUUUGUUAAUUGUGCAUUAAAUAUAUCCUAGUAUUUUAUAAAAUUGAUUUGGUCCAAUUUUGCAACAAUUAUUUGGGAGGUCCUUCACAAAAAAACCUCCUUUUGGGCACUCGAAAAAUGGAAAAUGGUUUUUUCGUCCAAAGAAAAUGAAAACUUCCUUAGGAAACAUUGUUUGCCAUUCGAAAUUGCACCCUUGUGCACAAUAUGAGAUCAUUUGAACAAACUAUGCCAUGAAUGUGGCCAUAAAAAUGAUCAUUUCGCUUGAAAGCCAUUGAUCUCCACAAGGGAUAGCUCGUUUCUGAGAACACUUUUUAAAAAUAAUUGUCGUAUUACAAGUUUGUUAUUUUUCCUGGAAACUUUGCCACAUAUAAUGACACAAUGCGAAGGUUUCCCAAUUUUUUGAUUUUUUUUUGAAUUUUUUAUGCCCGUUUCAAAAUGCGGUCAAAACGGCGGGAAUGACCGUUCCUAGCUAGUGGUUGAAUCUUGGAAUUUUUUUGGUGUUUCUCUGAUUAAAUAGAUACUUAUGUACCUAGAAAUGAUUUUUGGAAAAAAUAAAGAGCAAACUAUGAGGGAGCUGCUGUUCAAAUUUGACCCGCUUCCAACUGAAUCGGCGGAAAUUUGUCUUUUUCAUGAGAGGUGGAUCAAAACUUUUUACACUCAACCAUUUUGUCAAUUAAAUAUGUCCUACUAUUUAAGAAAAUUGAUUUGGUCCAAUUUUUCAACAAUUAUUUGGGAGGUCCUUCACAAAAAAACCUCCUUUUAGGCACUCGAAAAAUGGAAAAUGGUUUUUUCGUCCAAAGAAAAUGAAAACUUCCUUAGGCAACAUUGUUUGCCAUUCCAAUAUGCACCCUUGUGCACAAUAUGAGGUCAUUUGAACAAACUAUGCCAUGAAUGUGGACAUAAGAUUGAUCAUUUGGCUUGAAAGCCAUUGAUCUCCACACGUGAUAGCUCAUUUCUGAGAACACUUUUUUAAAAUAAUUGCCGUAUUACAAGUUUACUAUUUUUCCUGGAAACUUGGUCACAUAUGAUGACAAAAUGCGAAGGUUUUCCAAUUUUUUGAUUUUUUUUUGAAUUUUUUAUGCCCGUUUCAAAAUGCGGUCAAAACGGCGGGCUUGACUGUUCCUAGCUAGUGGUUGAAUCUUGGAAUUUUUUUGAUGUUUCUCUGAUUAAAUAUAUACUUAUGUUCCUAUAAAUGAUUUUUGGAAAAAAUAAAUAGCUAACUAUGAGGCAGCUACAGUUCAAAUUUGACCCGCUUCCUGAUGAAUCAGCGGAAUUUUGUCUUUUUCGCCAGAGAUGGAUCAAAGCUUUUGACACCAAAACAUUUUGUCAGUUGUGCAUUAAACAUGGCCUAGAAUUUUAGGAAAUUGAUUUGGUCCAAUUUUGCAACAAAUAUAUGGUAGGUCCUUCACAAAAAAAACUCAUUUCGGGCACUCGGAAAAUGGAAAAUGAUUUUUCCGUGCAAAGAAAAUGAAAACUCCCUUAGGCAACAUUGUUUGGAAUUCCAAGAUGCACCCUUGUGCCAAUCUGAGAAAAUUUGAACAAACUAUGCCAUGAAUGUGGCCAUAAGAUUUAUCAUUUGGCUUGAAAGUCACGAUUCUUCACGCAUGAUGGCUAAUUUCUGAGAACACUUUUUUAAAAUAAUUGUCGUAUUACACGUUUAUUAUUUUUCCUGGAAACUUGGUCACAUAUGAAGACACAAUGCGAAGGUUUUCCAAUUUUUUGAUUUUUUUUGAAUUUUUUAUACCCGUUUCAAAAUGCGGUCAAAACGGCGGGCUUGACCGUUCCUAGUUAGUGGUUGAAUCUUGGAAUUUUUUUGAUCUUUCUCUGAUUAAAUAGAUACUUAUGUACCUAGAAAUGAUUUUUCGAAAAAAUAAAUAGCAAACUAUGAGGCAGCUACAGUCCAAAUUUGACCCGCUUCCUACUGAAUCAGCGGAAUUUUGUCUUUUUCACCAGAGAUGGAUCAAAGCUUUUGACACCCAACCAUUUGGUCAAUUGUGCAUUAAAUAUGUCCUAGUAUUUUAGAAAAUUGAUUUGGUACAAUUUUGCAACAAAUAUAUGGUAGGUCCUUCACAAAAAAACUCAUUUUGGGCACUCGAAAAAUGAAAAAUUGAUUUUUCUUACCAAGAAAAUAAAACUCCCUUUGUCAAUAUUGUUUGCCAAUCUAAGAUGUAAACUUGUGCAAAAUUUGGUAUCAUUUGAACAAAUAUUUGGUAGGUCUGUUUAAAAAAACUCAUUUUGAGCAUUGAAAAAUGAAAAAUGAUUUUUUGUGAAAAACUUAUCUUUGAUUACGACCAAUUUAGAUGGUCAUAAGGUCUUCAAAUUGUUUGCUGUGUUCUGAUUGGUCUAUAGACAUCUCACGCGGAUCGUUCAUCAAACACCGUCCGAUUGUCCAGGAUCCAACUGCUGCCUUCACCCCCUCACGUCUCACCCACUUAACCCUAACACAACCCGUCUCACCCCUCACCCUCUCUCCUACGCACUCACAGCCGCCGCCCCCAACCAUCUCCCUCGCUCAGAUCUCGAUCCGCCGCAGCCGCCCCCAACCCACCCCCACCGCCACUCUCGACGACCCUCACCGUAGACGAGGUCGAGGCUGACCCAAGAUCNNNNNNNNNNNNNNNNNNNNNNNNNNNNNNNNNNNNNNNNNNNNNNNNNNNNNNNNNNNNNNNNNNNNNNNNNNNNNNNNNNNNNNNNNNNNNNNNNNNNNNNNNNNNNNNNNNNNNNNNNNNNNNNNNNNNNNNNNNNNNNNNNNNNNNNNNNNNNNNNNNNNNNNNNNNNNNNNNNNNNNNNNNNNNNNNNNNNNNNNNNNNNNNNNNNNNNNNNNNNNNNNNNNNNNNNNNNNNNNNNNNNNNNNNNNNNNNNNNNNNNNNNNNNNNNNNNNNNNNNNNNNNNNNNNNNNNNNNNNNNNNNNNNNNNNNNNNNNNNNNNNNNNNNNNNNNNNNNNNNNNNNNNNNNNNNNNNNNNNNNNNNNNNNNNNNNNNNNNNNNNNNNNNNNNNNNNNNNNNNNNNNNNNNNNNNNNNNNNNNNNNNNNNNNNNNNNNNNNNNNNNNNNNNNNNNNNNNNNNNNNNNNNNNNNNNNNNCCACCCAUGGAAACCCCCUCUUCCACGGAUCCACCCAUCCACGCCCACCAGUUCUAGCGAUGGAUGGGGCGCACCAGCUGUUCUGGCGAUGGCAGCGCCGGACCCGCACCCACCUGUGCGAUGGAGGUCGGCCGCAUCGGGAUCCACCUACGCGAUGGAGGCCGGCCGGAUCGGUAUGGCGCGGCACACCACACCAUACCGGAGCUUGCUGCUGUGCUGGUCGUCGACAACGACGCAACUCCGGCGGGACAUAGACGCCCAAGGUACGUACGUCGUUCUUGCCAACUCUUCCAUCUCCUCUCAUGCGUGGCUUGCAUGAUGCAGAUCCGACCCCCCAUCCUUCCUUCCUUGUGUUCGCGGAACGACAAUGGCAAGGGGACGACCGAUGUGCGUGGUGGACCAGGAGCUGGAGAACCAUCUCGCCCUCCAUGUUCACAUCACCUUCCUUUGCUUUCCCUUGGACACUUGGAGAGAGAGAAGGAAGAUGGCGGAUGAGGGGAUGGCCAACUGCAUCGACAUCAUCCUCGCCAUCAUCCUGUCGCCGCUCGACGUCUUCCUCAAGUUCGCCUGCGGGGUGAGUUGCCCGAGCUUUGUCCCAGUCCCGUGCUAGCUGCAUGUUUAAACUUCACAGUAGAUUCUCUCCUGAGCGUGAUUCCGUCGAGAGUUGGGUUAACUAACUGCUGGUGCUGAACGUGCUUUUGCAGAUCGAGUUCUGAAUCUGCGUGCUGCUCACCUUCUUCGGCUACCUCCCUGGCAUCAUCUACGCCGUCUGGGUCAUCACUAAGUAGGUGUCGGAGGGGCUCCUCACCUCUGGCUGCCUCUAGGUAUGCAUGCACCGAUGCGCCUUGGAGGAACUUGUCAUGUUUCCCGGUUAUUUUCUGUUCAGUACAGUCCUCUGCAGAAUUUACAACAGCAAUUUUUACUAUAUGAAGAAACUAAACAGAUAUAGUCUGUCGUAUUCUUAACAACACAAAAUGAUGCAUCUUCCAAGCAAAAGUAAUUUUGCAUAUCCAAAAGAGAAGCGCCCUGUAGCAUGUUGUUACUUCCAUCUCUGUUCAAAAAAUAGAGGAACCAUCUUUUUUGGUUCAGAUAAUUGCAAGGAAAUUCCUGAAGUGAUCCAUGUUUCCUCUGGUUGUUGUUUGUGCCAGGUGACCCAAGGUUGCUCAAGAGGAGCAGCAGCCGCACAAGAGUAUCUGAAGAUGACUCCUCCGUUUCUAACCCAUCCCCUUCCUUCCACAGUUUUGGAUGAUGAACUUGAUCCUCCUUAAUUAAUUAAUUUCUCAUCGUGCUUAAUUAGCUGUAAAUGUGCCCCCGUAUUGAAGAAGAAGAAGAUAAUACAAAUGUAAUUUAAUUGGAUGGUCCCUUUCAUCGUGCUUAAUUAGCUGUAAAUGUGCCUCCCUUACUAAAGAAGAUAAGAAUCCAUAUGUGUUAUGCAAAAUUAACUUUGUCAUCUUGUAAGCACUCUAGACAGUGUCUAGAGGGUGAAAAUAUGAGAACAAAAAAGAAUUACUGGAUUAAUUUAAAACAUCCAUCCUUUACUCUGUCCAUGUCAUUGUUAUUUACCCCUGGGAGUAUUUUUAACUUGAAAAUAUCUGGUGAACUGCCAUUUCGAGUACAUUUGCUUGCUCUGUUAAUUUUUUCAGUUACUCCAUCUUACUCUGUUAAGUAAAAUUUGAUAUGUGGAGUAGCAGCAGUAAGCUAGACCCUCCAUCUUGCUCUGUACAUAGUUAAAGCUACUGAAUAUUUAAUAGUAUUUUCAGUAAGUAUUCUGAACAUGCUUCUGAAUAUUUCCAGAUUUUGAACAUGCAAGCAAAUCUGCAGGAGUAAACAAGUUCUUGCAAUAGAUAUUGCAAGUGUUUUAUCUAAACAUCUACUCUCACCGAAGAUAUUUCAAGUGGUCUGGCCAGAUUUUCUCAGUUUGCAAGUUUACUUACUUUUCCAGUUAAUUAACUGGACAUCUUGGAGUAGUUAGAAAAUCAUGAAUUAUUUGCAGAAAACCAUAGAAGUAUUGUACUCCAGGGUGCAUUACUUACAUAAACUUGCUUGCAAGCUUAUUUUCGACUCACGUAUUCUGAAACUGAAAAAGCUUAGUUAACUUCUAUAGUACUUUGGGUAAAAAUGGAAUGGUUCCAUCCUGCACAACAUACUUUGAGUGAAUGUUGAGUACUGUAUGCACUUGUGUAAUAUAUGUUGGUUGAUGAAUGCCUGGGUGUGUCACUGCUUGUUCCAUGCUACAUUUCGGAAUUGUUCAUUUUUGUGUUAUGACAACUUCACUGCAUCCUGCCGAAACCUUUUUAAAAUCUUGCAGAUUCUAGUGCUACCACACAACUAGAUCAGUAUUUGAUUACUAUUACAAGUGGAGGUCUAAAUCAGCAGAGAACAGGGGUGAGAUGUACAUGUCCCAACCUCCUUCCCUCCCAUGUAUGAAUACACUCUCAAGUAGUCAUUUUUUUGAAUGGGCAUAUGAUAAGAACUAAGAAUUCACCUUCACUAAUUGUCUAUGAUAUUUCAUCAGGAUCUAUAAGUACUUGAGGUACAUAUUGGCCGCACCACCAAUUUGUGUAGUUCUUGGGCCCUCUUGGUAGUGGGUUCUCAGUAGGACUAUAGAGUUGAUAGUAUGCUUCUAUGCAUCCCCAUUUAUGAGUUAUGCAGAAUAAGAAUUACAAUUUGCUGCAAUUCAGAUGUUUUGAAUUCUUCAAUCUUAAAUUGUUCAAUGAUGAUAGCUAUCUUGCACCGUACUAUAAAAUCAUGGAUCAGCAACUAGGUGAUUGUCAAUCCGUUCUUGCUAGAUGUGUUGUUGUUUUUCUUCUUCUAAGAUAAGAUGGUAGCAUCACAUGUCAUCCUAUCAUGUUGUACUAGUUCCUGAAGUGUAAGAUAAGAUGGUGGCAUCAGAUGUGUGUUCUGACUUGUGACUGCUUACUACAUGGAUACAUGCAGCUAGCUAGCAACCUAGCAGUACUAGUAAGAAUAUAUGUGACUAAUUCCCUCCCUAUACCUUGUGAUUGAUUCCAAGUAUAUACAGAUGCCAUCUUUGUCUGGCAACAUAUGCACCUGAUUACAUUCAGGUGCAUAUAGUAUGCUUGAACAGUGUAAACAUAUGCAUCUGCAAAAUUACCUCAUUCAUAGUGUGGUGCCUAUGUAUAUCAGUUAUCAAUUGGCUUGAUUUAGGCUAUUGAUAGUCAGUGUCUCAGUGACAGAAAUAACUCAAAAGCUAUACCUUUAGCUGUGUUGGCAAUCGAAUGUAUAUAAUCGUAACCGUGAAACUAGUUAUUACCGUAGCCAGCAGAUCUCUUUAGUAAGCAGUAACUGGUAGUUCACAUAAUCGAUCCCAUAGAUUACUUCCCCAACGUGUGUUCCAAGGGCUUUACCUAUUAGAAUUGAUGCUUGUUUCUACUAAGUGUUGCACUUGUUUCUACUAAGUUUUAAAUGUGAAUCUGUUGUUUCACAUAUACUAUAUACAACUGAUGCCUUGAAUAAGUCAGCUCCCGUUGGAUGGUGCAGUGUAGCCAAUCAAGUGCGACUCAUAUCCAGUUGUUUUCUCACAUUAUUAUUUGGUUAUACCAUGCCGCUGCCAUUGUUUGCUUAAGCAUGAUUUGCUCCAACCUGGCAUUGUGUUGUACUAGUACUAGUACAUACUUCAAUUGCAUGCAUGCAUGUUUGCCGUUCCCUGAACUGUUUGCCUACUUUGCAUACGGCUUCUGUCUUGCUGCUCUCUGACCUGUUGUACUGUCCAUAUGUUACUUGAUCAUUUGCAAAAUAUAUCUCAGUUUUUGCUGUAAUGAGAAUGUUAUAUCCAUGGUUUCCUGUUAAAUCUAAAGUUCUGCAGCAAAUUUUCAUCGUUAAGAGAAUUUUAUAUUCACGGAUUCACUUGAUUAUGUUUCAAACUUUUCAUAAUUUAUUAUUUGCAGAUGCUGGCUUUCAUUCUUCCAAAGUUGGGUGUACAGGAGCUCUAGGAAGAAGAAUCCUGGAGAUAAACCACACCCAGCAAUGCAUUUUAGCUUACUAGAUAUAGUUAUGCUUGCAGCUAGUUAUGUGUAUAUUUAGUUGUAUUUUAUAGCUGAAUACCAGAAUUCUACUAUGCUUGGCUGUUGUAUGAAAUAUUAUGCCUUAUUGGCUCUUUUUGAAUCAAAUUAUCUAAUUGCACAAAUAUAGAACUGGUGUGUGGUACCCGAAAAGCAAACCUGGUAAUUGGUUCCCAUUUGACUAGUGGGACCUACCUUAAAAUAGAAAAGAAACAAAAGAAAACUGACAAGUGGGCUGAAAAAGGCUAAGGCCCCAAAAAAAUUGCAUUGUAAAAGGUUUUGGCCCAAAACAUAAAAGUCUAUUGGGCUUGGCCCAUGUAGCUUACCCAAAUGGAAAGAAAAAACAACAAAUGGGCUGAAUUGUUGGGCUCGGCCCAUGUAAAACACCUAAUCGGACCAGGCUGAAUCUUGUCAGUGACCUUUACAAUUGGUCGCAAUUUUGCCAUGUCAGAUUGCCACGUCGGAUCCGACGUGGCCUGGGCAGACAGCCAGUGACGAAAACAAAAGGUCAUGGGUUCAACGACCUUCUGUUUUGGUCGUAAACGUCUACGACCUUCUCACAGAGAAGGUCGUUAAUUUCAGUUUACGACUGCCAGCUUUUGACCUUCUGUUUUUGGUCACAAAAAGGUCGCAAAUGAAAAACUAUGACCUUUCAGCGUCCAAUAGUGAGGGUCACAAGUUGACAUAUUUCUUGUAGUGCACGCCCACCGUCAGCCGCGGGUGGCGUGGCCCAUGGAGCGCCUCCACCACCUCUGCCCCAAGACCAUGCCUUGGUGCCAAGGCGCGUGGCCCCAUGGUGCGACCCAACGCGCUCGGUGCCCGCGCGCGAAGAGAGAAGCUGCCAAGAAAUUCUUCGGCCGCGAGAAGCUGCACCUGCGCUCCUCGUGCCGCCUCACCACGACCGUGCGCCACCAGCGGUGGCGGCAUGCGGACCUCAUCAAGACCAAGCUCCACCUCUGAGACGGGCCCCGGUGACCACGGCCGGCUGCCGUGCCUUCACCCUCGAGCUGCGUAGGGCGCCUGGCCGGGCAAGUUCAAGCCAGAUCUGCCUCCUCGCUACGACGGCACCCCCGACCCCACGGAGUUCCUGCAGCUCCACGAGCUGAGCAUCUAAGCGGCUAACGGCGACGAGAAAGUCAUGGCGAACUGGUUUCCCAUGGCUCUCAAGGAUGGCGCCCGCUCCUGGCUCCUGAACCUGCCACCGGGCUCGAUCUCCUCCUGGGACGAGAUGCGCGACCGCUUCAUCGCCAACUUCCAAGGCACUCGCGACCGCCCGCCGGCCGCGGGUGACCUGCGCCAUGCCAAGCAACAACCAGGGGAGACCCUCCAGAAGUUCAUCUAGCGCUUCAACAACAUUCGUCUCGAGAUCCCCAAGGUGACGGACGAGGCCAUCAUCUACGCGUUCUCUGAUGGCGUCCGCGACGUCAAGAUGAAGGAAGAGCUUGCUAUCCACGAGGAGCUGUGCACAUCUCAGGAGCUGUUCAACCUGGCGACCAAAUGUGCAAGAGCUGAGGAAGGGCGCCUCUCCCUCCUCGAGCUGCCGGCUGCGGACCCGGAGGAAAAGAAAGCCAAGGCCAAGGACGUGAAACGCAAGGGAGCAACCGUGCUCGCAGCGGAGCCUGACACCAAGUGAGGAAGAGACCAGCCCGAGUCAUCCAAGAGCAGCCGUCCGUUCUGCGCCUUCCACAACCUGAACACCCACAACACCAGUGAGUGUCAAGAGCUCAGAGCCAUUCGCGAAGGACGCUUCGGUCGACGCCCCAAGCGCAGCGACCGGGGCUACGGCCGAGGCGGGGGACAUGGUGGCGUACGCUGGGACGACCGCGGCCCUGCCAGGAGUGGCGCGACCGCCCUCACGAGGACCGCUGGUAGGAUCAGCCUCCCGAGGGCGCCUGGAGGGAUCAGCCUCAUGAGGAUCGCCCUCAAGGCAACGCUGGGCUCCCUCCAUUGCCGCCACCACCAAGAAGGAACGAUGAACACCACCAAGACGAGGGGGCUGGGGGCUUCCAAGAGCCGCGUGCUAUCGCUUGCAUCUUGGGCAGAGCCCAUGCCCCAGCCUCACAGCAUAUCUUCAAGCAGUUUGCUCGUGAAGUGAAUGCAGUCCUCCCCAAGCUCGAGGCCACACGCCCACUCAGAUGGUCCCAGUGCCCCAUCACGUUCAGCUCGGCAGAUUAGCUCAAGUGCGCAGCUACCACUGGCGCCCUCCCGAUGUUGUGCUCCCCAGUCAUCAGCAACGUGCAAGUUACCAAGACCCUCAUCGACGGCGGCGCAAUGCUCAACGUCCUGUCCGUCGACACGUUCGACAACCUCCAAGGGCCAUAUGACCAUCUUCCGCCUACCAAGCCAUUCUCAGGAGUGACCGACGGUUCCACUACGCCGAUAGGGCAGGUCCGCCUCCCUGUCACCUUCGGGGAACGCAAAAACUACCGCACCGAGCUCAUCAACUUCGACGUCGCGCACAUUCGUCUACCCUACAAUGCCAUCCUCGGGUACCCUGCCCUGGCCAAGUUCAUGGCCGUCACCCAUCACGGCUACAAUGUUCUCAAGAUGUCGGGGAGUGGCGGAAUCAUCACGGUCCCAUGUGAAGAGAGAGAUGCAGUGUGCUCCCUCGAGCGCGCCGUCCAAGCUGCAGCAAUCGACGACCCCGACAGCAAGGGCGAGGGCCCUCCUGAGGUCACCCCCAAAAAGAAGAAGCAGCUGAGCCGUGCAGGACCUCGGGAGGGUGGCGCCGCAACUGGAGCCUCGUCAGGAUCGGCGCCCGCCCUAGGGGCGCCUCCCUCCAUCGCAUAGGAAGGCGCGCCCGGCGCCCUUCUCGGGCAGGGCUCGGGGGCUUUCUUCUAGAAGGCCUCAGACCUUGCCCACAUCACGAGGGAGGCGCUUGGGCACCACUUGGAGGCGUGCUUCGCGGCAUGUUUCCCUCAGGAGAACACAGUGCAAGGAGCACCCACCGAUCAGGAGUUCAUCACCAAGACAACUCAGGAGCUGCAGGACGCAAGGGCCAUGCGCGGCGACCGCCGCUCGCGAAGCGCAGCUCCCCAUCUAGGCGAGGAUGCCAGGCUGCGUGUCUGCAUCGACAUUCCACGGCUCAACAGGGCCACUUCUCAGGAGCUCUUCUGGCCUUCGCUCGUGGGACGCUGCGAGGGCCCACCGCACAGCUACGUUCGCAUGCCCUUCAGCCUGCCGAGCGUGUCGUGAGCCUAUCAACGCAACCUACGGCGUGUCCUGGAAGCUCAGGAGGACAGGCACCAUGCCGUCCUGGCAGAGAUGGAGAUGGUCCUCCAGGAACCACCUGAGCCCCCAGAGCCUCCCGAGGCUCAGGGCCCCGGUGGCUCAUGAGGAGCAACCCUUUCGCCGCGCAUCUUCAGCUGCCCCAACUCUCCUUCGUCGACAGAACCAGGUGACAUUUUUCAAGUUCAUUUAGCUGGGAGCAACCCAUGGGCUGCAUCAUUCCCAGGCCGCGUGGGUCCGUCCCUGCGGCUUGUAUCCUUGUUUACGUCUUUAAGCUUACCUUGUUGGGGGCGCCCCUCCGGCUGCAUCAUCCCCAAGCCUCUUGGGCCUGACCCAGUGGCAUGUAUCUCCCAUGCAUUUACUUAAGCCUGCUGCUCUCAUGUUUCAUCUACCCAUGAUUGUCACCUGCCCGAUUGCCACCUGCUCGAUCGUCGCCUCCCAUGGGGCCUCCUCACACUGGCACGGCGCUGGUGCAUGGGCCUGUCCCUGCCACGUCGACAAACCUGAGCAGUCGAGCUCUGGCUCGCGGCACGCCCCGCGCACGCCACCCCACUAGGCCCUCAGUGCCUUCAUUUCCUCGCAGAGCAGCCAGAGGCAGGCUGGCAACCAUAACAGCAAAAUCGUGUUUCUCCUUGUGCUGGAUCGCAGGGAUCUCAUGAAGAAGAUAGCAGGCGGCACCACGAGCUUCCUUUCCUCUCGUACAAUCCGCUUGUGCGUCAAAAGGGGGGCUCCUGAGCAUCGCGACUCUGGAGCUCUUACUGGCUCUCCAGCCCUCACCCCCUUGCCUUGACCACGGCAUCACGACCUGGCAUACCAGAGGCGGCUGAGCUCGCUCGAGGGCCGGGACCUGAGGACGUAGAGCAUGAAGGAGAGUAUGUGAGAAUGGGAGACUCGUAUAGGCCCGGCCUGGCUAUGCUGCGGAAGCUUGCGCACGAAACUUGGCGCAUCACGAGGACUCGGCCCCAAAUUAUCAAGAUAAGUCUCGCGCUCAGAUUGGCUAUUCGCUGGAACCUAAGGGUCACGCUCGCCGCAGCCCUGUUGCGGCCACGUCGCCCUCCUUUCUUGCCUUACCAUGGCUGCUUGAGCGCUAAAGGGGACCUCCCGAGCAUCGCGCCUCAGGGGCUCUUACUAGACCUCGGGCCGCUCACCUCCUGGCCUUGACCACGGCACGCGACCUGGCAUACCAGCGACGACUGCAGCCUGCCUGGGGACCGGGACAUGUGCGCGUAGAGCAACAAGCUAUCGCGAGGUUGGAAAGGGGAGACCGAGCCUUAACAGGACAUGCGUCCGUAAGUUUUCAUAACAAGGAAGAUAUACACGAAAGACAUUACAGACCCUUUACACACCCCCGCGGGGUACUCCGUGAUUCUUAGCAGGGAACAAAAGACGAGAACUUAGAGGAAUCCUAUCUACGGCAUCCCGUGGCGGACGCAAUCAUCAACAGUGGGCCACGGGAGGCCGGCGCCAACCCCACCCAGAUCAGCGGCGGCUGGACGCCGCUGCUUCGCUCCGGGCGCGGUGAGAGCUCGGGGGCACGUAGCUAUCGUCGUUCGUCUCUGGAGUCUCGAAGAGCUCAGGAGAACCGCUGGACGCCCAAGGGUCGCUGCUGCUGGAGGAGCCGCAGGCCGGGCGCACGUCGUCCUGAUGCUCCCCUCCGGGGCAACACGCCAAGCGGCGGCCCUCCGCAUCGAAGACCUUGAAGAAAAGCGUGGAGACGCCAUCAUACUCGAAGUGGAUCGCGAGGGCGCCCCUCACACGGCAAACCCGCACGACCUCGCCCCAGCCGCGAGUCAUGAAGAUCUUGCCGGUGGGGACCGCUUUGACCUCUGCUCCGGUCGCCGGAGCAUCGCAGUCAGCAUGCUGCAGCCAGAGCUCGAGGGGCCCUCUCGGAGGCAUCACAUCGGAGAAGAACCACGGGAAGCGGAUCCAAGAGCUUGGGGGCAUCGGCGCCCAUAGCACAAGCUCGUGUGAGGAAUCCGCGGUGUGGAUUCCAGGGGCAACCAUGCGCGUCGCCGUCGCGCAGCGACCACGAACGCGGCGCGGGCGGCGCUCCUCGUCGCUCCACCCUCCUGAGCCCUCGGCUCGGGCGUACAAGGGUAGCGGAUACCCUGGAGGAGGCCGCUCGCACCAGGGCCUCGUCACCACCUGCAUCGCCGCUUCGUCACGACGGUGGACCGUCCUCUUCUUCGGCGGGAGCGGCCCAGGAUCAUCACGGUGGGCCUUUCCCUUCUCGUCAGCGGAGAACCUUCGGAUCGGCGCCAUUGGAUCUGCAGCAAGCAAUGAAGCAAGGAGGAGGAAGCAAGCGAGCCGCUAAGAGAUGGGCGAUGGGGGCUCGGCCCCCCUCCCCAUUUAUAGCGGAAGAAGGCCAACCGGCGCCGCCCAGGAUCACAGGUAAUGAUGGUUUUCCUUGCAUGUCGCAGGGACUAGUCAAGUCGGGCGGUUGCCAAGGCAGCGUGGGGAAGCGGAGACGCCCAUGUCCAAUCAACCACCACGCGUCAACCGAGGCCGCGGGCUUUUGGGGCCCUCGGCGCUCCACGCUUGACCUUUGGCUUUGCCUCGAAGUCAAGCACGAGCGUGCCUUGGGCCCGGGGGCUACUGUCGGCGUUCUGGGAACGGGGGUCCCCAGACUUGCCUACCUGCGGCCCACGGCGUGGCUAUGCUAGCAGGCCGUAUGGCCCAUCUUCAUCGACAAGGCAUUCAAGACCCUCGCGAGGGGCCAAGACUCGCGAGGUGGACGACCGAAGACCUCCUCAGGAGCGGCCACGCUGGGCAAGCUCAUGAGGGGCAGAGAGAUCAAGGCAAGGCAAACCUCGCGAGGACUUCGUGACAUGAGCCAUGACGAUCGACACCAAGCGGGCGCCAGCGCGCGCAGCGUCCUUGUUUCAUCUUUGGUGCUAAGGAGGCGGGCGCAGGCGCAGAGUAUCGAGGCAUCAAGCAAAGGUUUCCAUAUCGGUGCAACGAGACCGAAGACCAGCAAGACGGCAGGACGGAGGUCACCAUGGAGCCCAAGACGGCGUCACCACCAGAGCCUUUUGCAGGCGAAGACCACUUUUGUCAGGAUAAGCUGUACUAGCUGUCCCCUUUCAAAUUGGCCGUUGUUGGCUCCCUUCCCGCUCAAUAUUUGGGGAGAGGACCAGGGCCUAUAUAAGUAGAACUAGCCCCCGCAGUAGCGCCAUCUGAUCUGGAGCCAAUCCUUAGCCACACACCAAGCACAAGAACACCUCAACCUCAGGAGGUUGUUCUUUCCCUUGUAUCUGUUGUUCAUCAACCCAAGAGGCAAUCCACUACCACCACACUGGAGUAGGGUAUUACACCACAACGGUGGCCUGAACUAGUAUAAAUCUCGUGUCUUUCUAUGUUGCGAGUUCGUCGAGUUCGUCCGCGAGAUCUUAGAGAGCGAGGGCGUAUUUUGCCGGAACCCGUGAUCCGACACGGGUUUCUUUUAUUUUUCUGUCCUAUAAAAGUUCGAAAUGUAAUGAAAAUCUGCCGUGUUUGCAUUAAUCUCGGGCGGUGUAUAUGAACUUUCACAAUAAUAUAGUAUAUUGUAGGAGUACUAGCAAGAUGCCCAUGCGUUGCACGGAACAUCAAGAUCUUGUGGGAGAAAAGGAUGAACGAGGGAAGGCCUUAUCUGCAAAUGUGGAGAGGAGUGCGGGUAAAUUGUGAUAGUUUCCUUCCUAUCCGUUAGAUAUAGAUCGGGCGGCCUAUGUUGCAGGAUGGCAGGCACACCAUCAUCACCAACUCUGCUUUUUAUUCAACCGAGACAAAGCUAACAUGCGAAGUAAAAUAAACACAUAGUCUACAUACACAAUUUAUCUUAGGCACUCCAAUAGUACAUCCACUACACAUUCACGCAUUUCACAUCUUUCUACAUCUACGGGAACCUACAAAAGGGUUAACGUAAAUUGCCUCUAUCUCUCCUCCUUGAUUUUCAUAGUGGUGGGCCCCUUCCUCCCCCCAAUCUACAAUCAACAGCUCACAUGUUUCACAUUAUGUUAAUUACAUAACUGGGAUUACGUAGGUGUAGCAUUACUUGUCCUAAAAAACCCAACUAAGCCAACCUCCCAGCAUAUCGCGCGGGAAAAGACCCGGCCACGCCGAUUUAGUCGGGAUUACCGGAUUACUAGUAGAAGUAUCGAUGGAUCGCGCAAAGCACCAAGUUUUUUUAGGGGGCGAAUCACCUAGUUUAAAAGGAAAAAAGGCGGUACACUCACAGCACCCCAGUCGCGGUCGCAUUGCACCCCACACACGUUCGGUCCUGCAACGGCUCACGCAAACGGAACGCGCUUCGGCCUGCCUCUUCACUGACACGUGGGACUGCACUUGGAGAAACCGACCAUGUGCCAAACUCCCCCCACCCACCGCNNNNNNNNNNNNNNNNNNNNNNNNNNNNNNNNNNNNNNNNNNNNNNNNNNNNNNNNNNNNNNNNNNNNNNNNNNNNNNNNNNNNNNNNNNNNNNNNNNNNNNNNNNNNNNNNNNNNNNNNNNNNNNNNNNNNNNNNNNNNNNNNNNNNNNNNNNNNNNNNNNNNNNNNNNNNNNNNNNNNNNNNNNNNNNNNNNNNNNNNNNNNNNNNNNNNNNNNNNNUCACUGCCGUGCCGAUAUGUCGGCACCGCGGUUCAUCGAGGGGACACACAGCGAUCCUAUCGCUCCCACAGUACGCUCUCAUAGACUGUCGUCCUCUAGCCGCGCCGCCACCGGUGGCGACGUUCUUGUGGAGGCGCACGGCGGUCCGCGCCGCCACCGCUGGCGACGUUCGUGUGGAGACGCACGGCGGUCAGCUUCUCCCACGGUACCACAUUCUAGACUGAGGCCCCCUGCAUGUCGGUGUAGCGCUGAAUGUUAGCUGAUAGACGCUGUUAAUCUCACUGUUUGCCGAAGUAGUUUACAGUCAAUAUGCUCUACUUAAGAAGCUUCCUUGCCCUGUUCUGCACUCAAUCUGCUUAGCUGAGAUGGCAUGCCAAGCCCGAUUAGUUGCUAAAAUAUCCUGCCAUAUAUUUAUUGUGACGUAGAUUGCCAUGGCCUAGUAGCCAAUCUAUUAGGUGAAAUAGCUGUACACAGUUUUAUACUCGAUCUUUGUUGCUGCGAUGGCCUUCGAUAGUUUGAUGGCUGUGUGCUGAAACAGCCUGCCAUAAUUUAGCACUCAAAUCUAUUUGCUGAAUUAGCUUUACAUAUAUCCUGUUACUUAGAUCUGCUCGUCCAAAUAUCUUGCCAUAGCUUUAGACAUCGACCUAGGUAUUUUAUUAUAGACUUCAUAAAAAAGCAUAUAUGUUUUUCCUGUAAUAUCUAGUAGAAGAACUAAUUUCUAUGUCUAACAGAUGGACAGGACAUGGAUAACUUCUGCUCGAAGAUUCUCCGCUGCAUAUGUCGAGGGGGUUGAAAACUUCAUGAACUUUAUCAGAGCUGAGUACGGUGGUCUGAAAUCAGAUGUGCUAUGCCCGUGUAGCAGUUGUAUGAAUUCAGUUAGAAGACCCCAGUCAACUGUGCAAAAUCAUCUACACUUGUAUGGGAUGUCGGUCACAUAUACUAGGUGGGUGCAUCAUGGUGAAGCUGUGAACGUCAAUGUUACUGACUACGUGGAAGCAGGAGAUCACCAUCUUGAUCUGCCUGAUGCUCAGGUGGAAGAGGAGGAGGAGGUGGUGGUGGCGGAGCCAGUGAGUUUAACCAACAUUGAAACAAUGCUACGAAAUGCUCGUGCAUUUUGUGAACUUUCACUUGCAGAAGGAAAACGAUGGGCCCGCAUGUUGGAACAAUGCAAUGUGGCUGUCACCCCAGGAAAUAAGCUGUCAGUAUUCUCAGCUAUGGUCACCUUUCUUCAGGUGAAGACAUCUGAGCGGAUGACCAACAAAUCAUUCGGUGCGAUGUUGGCUGCUUUCCACAAAUAUUUCCCAGAUGCGUCUGAGCUGCCACACACCUACAGUAAAAUGAAGAAUUUCUUUCGUGCAGUUGGAAUUGGAUAUGAUAUGAUCCAUCUUUGUAAGAAUAAUUGUGUUCUGUUCCGGAAGGAUUAUGCCAACUUAAGUGAAUUCCCGAAAUGCAAAUCAUCAAGAUGGAAAGAUGGCGAUGCUGUGAAGAGGAUUCCUCAUAAUGUUUUGAGACAUUUUCCAAUUACACCAAAAUUGCAGAGGUUGUUUCAUGAUGCUGAAACAAGAGAGGAUGUGUUGUGGCAUUCUAGGAACCAGGAGUACAGAGAUCAGAAUGUAAUGAGCCAUCCAUCUCAUGGUAGUGAGCGGCAAAGCUUCAAUCAGAAACCCAAAAAGUUUGCUGCUGACCCGAGAAACAUUAGACUUGGCUUAGCUUCAGAUGGAUUUAACCCAUCUGGCCAGCAGAGCGCCACAUAUAGCAUGUGGCCAGUGCUUGUUAUCCCUCCAAAUGUCUGCACCAAAGAAUCAAACUACAUGAUGGCCUUGCUCAUCCCAGGUCCAAAAAGUCCUGGAAAGGAUUUUGAUUUAUUCAUGGAGCCUCUUGUGGAGGAACUUCAACAGCUAUGGAAGGGUGUUCUCACUCGAGACCUAUAUAGCAGCCCGCCAGCUGAUUUCUUUCUGUGUGCUGUUAUAAUUUGGUGCAUCCAUGAUUAUCCGGCUUUGGGCACUAUGUCAGGGCGAAUGACACAUGAUUAAAAUGCUUGUGUUCGCUGUGACAGGAAUCCACUGUCAUACGCAAUACUUAGCAAGAUCUGUUACAUUGGACAUUGCCAUUUCCUUGCCAAGGACAAGCCGCGUCAUACAAAAUACCAAAGACAUGUGUUCAAUGCAAAGCAUGAAAACCAUGAUGCGCCAAAGAGGCUCACCGCCGAUGAGUUGCAAGUGGAAUUAGAGAAGGUCAGGCAUAUUACACCAGGAAACCAUCCUGGUAAUGGUAGCGGGAAAAGGAAGCGUGGCAGGGCAGAAGAGAGAUUAUUGUUUACCCGCAGGUCCACUUUGUGGGACUUGGAGUAUUGGAAAGAUUUGGAUCUGCGGCAUAAUCUUGAUGUGAUGCACAUCGAGAAAAAUAUGUGACAGCAUUAUCGGCACACUUCUUAAUAUUGAAGGCAAGACGAAAGAUACCUUAAAAUCAAGGAUUGAUUUGACACAUCUGGGUAUCAGAAAGGAUUUGCAGGUGCAAGAUGAAGGUAAACCACGGGAUAUGGCACCAGCUGUGUACGUCUUGGACAAGGUAAAAAUAAAAGAAUUCUGAGAGGUCCUGCCACGUGUGAGAUUCCCACAUGGAUUUGCUUCCAACCCUGAAAGGAGAGUCAGUGCAGAUGGAAACAAGGUACAAAGGUUGAAAACUCAUGACUGCCACGUUCUACUUCAAAGGGUUUUAACUGUUAUCCUUAGAGGAUUGGGCCGCUCUGACUUAUACAGAGCAGUUGCAGAGUUGGGACAAUUCUUCAGGGAACUCUGCAGUAGAAAUAUCAGGAUAGAUGCUUUGGAGCGUCUUAGAGACAAGAUACCAACUAUCCUAUGCGACCUUGAGAAGAUAUAUCCUCCAGCCUUCUUUGAUGUGAUGGUGCAUUUGGCUGUUGAUCUACCUGAUGAGGCACUACUUAGAGGUCCAGUACAGUAUGGCUGGAUGUACCCUAUUGAAAGGCGGCUAGGCACUUUCAAGGGCUAUGUCAGGAACAGAGCUAGACCUAAGGGUUCCAUUGCAGAGGCCUACAUUGCUACAGAAGCGUUGACCUUCUACUCAAAAUACAUUGAAACAGCUGAUCAGCUUAGCAAAGAGGUGGGUGAAGACAUCCCCGGGCUCAAUGUUUUCGAUUAUUCUGUUCAAGUUACAGGGAAGAGUCGACAAGAGGAAAAACCUAAAGAUUUCGACAAAAUGGUUUGGUAUGUGUUGAAUAACUGUCCUGAGAUACUACCUUAUAUCAAGUAAGUGCUAAGUACUGCAACUUAUACAUCAUAAUCUACUAAACUUGCAGCACAUUCUUAUAUAUUUAGAUGUUUGACGCGAUCACUAUUUUGUGCAGCAUCUACAAAAACGAGUUACUGCUGCAAAAUCCAAGAAACAUUGACAAACUGGUUAUGGCAGGAUUUGCGAAAUGGUUCAAGAGCCAUGUAAGCUUUUGAAUUGCACUGUCAGUUUUUUUAAUAUGUUGAGUACAUAAGAUGAUCAGCUUGUCUAUUUUCUAAACAUAGGUUAAGAAGAUGCGGGGGGAUGGGCAAGCAGUUGAUGAUGCCCUUUAUGCACUAGCAAUGGGUCCUGAUACUCGGGUAAGACAUUAUGAAUCUUGCGUUGUUGGAGAUGUGCGCUACAACACCCUUGCACGCGACGAAGGAAGGAAGACACAAAAUAGUGCCAUCAUGAGCACUGAUACGUACGGCAGAGUGACAACUAAAAUGUAUGCUAACAUAACAGACAUUGUUUAGUUGCAGUAUAUCUCCAGUUUCGAGGAUCAUUGGUGUGUGGUUCUGUUGUGCUGUCGUUGGUAUAACCAAUUUUCCAGGAUCGCAAAACCCAGGGCUGAUGGUUAUUUCAAAUCCAUCAAUGUCAAGGCGGCGUACCAGACCAACGAGCCUUUUAUUUUGGCAAAUCAAGCAACACAGAUAUUUUUCUUGGAAGACACAUUUGCACGUAGCAAUGGCUGGAGAGUAUUGCAAAGGUUUGAGCAGAGGAAUUCGUUUAACGAAGUUGCAGAACAAGAUGAUGCUUACACCGCUCCUGAUGUACAAGAUUCCAUAGAUGUUCCUAAUAUCUUUGAGAACCAUCACGUCAAUAACGCUGGCGAAAAGAUUGCCUGUCAUGCUGUGCACAUACAAGAGUUGAUCAACUGAAAAGAUUGUCUUUCGUCCGAAGAAAAAUCAUAAGCAAGCUUUCGGGAUGAGACUCCGCCGCCACGAGGCGGAACCUUGGCGGAACCAAUCUAGGGCUCUGGCGGAGCUGUUCUGUCGGGGACACUUCCCUCCGGGAGGGGGAAAUCAUCCCAUCAUCAUCACCAACGCUCCUCUCAUCGGGAGGGGGCCAAUCUCCAUCAACAUCUUCACCAGCACCAUCUCCUCUCAAACCCUAGUUCAUCUCUUGUAUCCAAUUCUUGUCUCUAUGUCUGGGAUGGGUACCUGUGGGUUGCUAGUAGUGUUGAUUACUCCUUGUAGUUGAUGCUAGUUGGUUUAUUUGGUGGAAGAUCAUAUGUUCAGAUCCUAUAUGCAUAUUAAUACUCCUCUGAUUAUGAACAUGAAUAUGAUUUGUGAGUAGUUAUAUUUGUUCCCGAGGACAUGGGAGAAGUCUUGCUAUUAGUAGUCAUGUGAAUUUGGUAUUCGUUCGAUAUUUUGAUGAGAUGUAUGUUGUCUCUCCUCUAGUGGUGUCAUGUGAACGUCGACUACAUGACACUUCACCAUUAUUUGGGCCUAGAGGAAGGCAUUGGGAAGUAAUAAGUACAUGAUGGGUUGCUAGAGUGACAGAAGCUUAAACCCUAGUUUAUGCGUUGCUUCGUAAGGGGCUGAUUUGGAUCCAUAUGUUUCAUGCUAUGGUUAGGUUUACCUUAAUACUUCUUUUGUAGUUGCGGAUGCUUGCAAUAGGAGUUAAUCAUAAGUGGGAUGCUUAUCCAAGUAAGGACAGCACCUAAGCACCGGUCCACCCACAUAUCAAAUUAUCAAAGUACCGAACGCGAAUCAUAUGAACGUGAUGAAAACUAGCUUGACGAUAAUUCCCAUGUGUCCUCGGGAGCGCUUUUCUCUAUAUAAGAGUUUGUCCAGGCUUGUCCUUUGCUACAAAAAGGAUUGGACCACCUUGCUGCACUUUGCUUACUUUUGUUACUUGUUGCUCAUUACAAAUUAUCUUAUCACAAAACUAUCUGUUACCUAUAAUUUCAGUGCUUGCAGAGAAUACCUUGCUGAAAACCGCUUAUCAUUUCCUUCUGCUCCUCGUUGGGUUCGACACUCUUACUUAUCGAAAGGACGACGAUAGAUCCCCUAUACUUGUGGGUCAUCAAGACUCUUUUCUGGCGCCGUUGCCGGGGAGUGAAGUGCCUUUGGUAGGUGGAAUUUGGUAAGGAAACAUUUAUAUAGUGUGCUGAAAUUUACUGUCACUUGUUACUAUGGAAAGUAAUCCUCCGAGGGGCUUGUUCGGGGUAUCUUCACCCCGACCAGUAGAAAAAAGAGUUGCUCCUCAACCUACUGAACCUACUGAAAAUGAAAAUGUCUACUUUGAAAUUCCUUCGGGUAUGAUAGAAAAACUGCUAGCUAAUCCUUUUGCAGGAGAUGGAACAUUACAUCCUGAUGAGCACAUAAUCUAUGUGGAUGAAGUUUGUGGAUUAUUUAAGCUUGCAGGUAUGCCUGAUGAUGUUAUCAAGAAGAAGGUCUUCCCUUUAUCUUUGAAGGGAGAUGCAUUGACAUGGUAUAGGCUAUGUGAUGAUAUGGGAUCUUGGAACUACAAACGAUUGAAAUUGGAAUUUCAUCAGAAGUUUUAUCCUAUGCAUCUUGUUCAUCGUGAUCGUAAUUAUAUAUAUAAUUUUUGGCCUCGCGAAGGAGAAAGCAUCGCUCAUGCUUGGGGAGGCUUAAGUCAAUGUUAUAUUCAUGCCCCAAUCAUGAGCUCUCAAGAGAAAUGAUUAUUCAAAAAAUUUAUGCUCGGCUUUCUGACAACAAUCGCACCAUGCUCAAUACUUCUUGUACUGGUUCUUUUAUGAUGAAGACUAUUGAAUUCAAAUGGGAUUUAUUGGAAACAAUUAAACGCAACUCUGAAGAUUGGGACCUCGACGAAGGUAAGGACUCAGGUAUAACACCUAAGUUUGAUUGUGUUAAAUCUUUUAUGGAUACCGAUGUUUUCCGUAAAUUUAGCACUAAAUAUGGACUUGACUAUGAGAUAGUAGCUUCUUUUUGUGAAUCUUUUGCUGCUCACGUUGAUCUCCCUAAGGAGAAGUGGUUUAAAUAUGAUCCUCCCAUAGAAGUAAAAGUAGUCGCACCUAUUAAAGUUGAAGAAAAGACUAUCACUUAUAAUGAUCCUAUUGUUCCUACUGCUUAUGUUGAGAAACCACCUUUCCCUGUUAGAAUAAAGGAUUAUACUAAAGCUUCAACUGUGGUUCGUAAAAGCAAUAUUAGAACUUAUACACCUCCUGAGCAAGUUAAAGUUGAACCUAAUAUUGCUAUUGUUAAAGAUCUCUUGGCUGAUAAUAUUGAUGGGCAUGCUAUUUAUUUCUGUGAUGAGACUGCUAGAAUUGCUAAACCUUGUGCUAAAGAUAAACAUAGACCUGUGGUAGGCAUGCCUGUUAUUUCUGUUAAAAUAUGAGAUCAUUGUUAUCAUGGCUUAUGUGAUAUGGGUGCUAGUGCUAGUGCAAUACCUAUUGACUUAUACAAAGAAAUUAUGCAUGAUAUUGCACCUGCUGAGUUAGAGGAAAUUGACGUUACCAUUAAGCUUGCCAAUAGAGAUACUAUAUCACCAAUUGGAAUUGUUAGAGAUGUUGAAGUCUUGUGUGGGAAAACCAAAUAUCCUGCUAAUUUUCUUGUUCUUGGUUCCCCACAAGAUAGCUUUUGUCCCAUCAUAUUUGGUAGACCCUUCUUGAACAUUGUUAAUGCUAAGAUAGACUACGAAAAGGAUGUUGUUACUAUUGAUUUAGGUGAUAUGUCUCAUGAGUUUAACUUUUCUAAAUUUCGUAGACAACACCGUGAAGAGGAAUUGCCUAGUAAAGAUGAAAUUAUUGGUCUUGCUUCUAUUUCCGUACCUCCUAGUGAUCCUUUAGAAUGAUAUUUGCUACACCAUGAAAAUGAUAUGUUUAUGAAAGAAAGAAGGGAAUAGAUGAAGUGUUCUUUAAACAAGGACCUAUUUUGAAACACAACUUGCCUGUUGAAAUUCUAGGGGAUCCUCCUCCACCCAAGGGUGAUCCCGUGUUUGAGCUUAAACCAUUGCCUGAUACUCUUAAAUAUGCUUAUCUUGAUGAAAAGAAGAUAUAUCCUGUUAUUAUUAGUGCUAACCUUUCAGAGAAGGAGGAAGAAAAAUUAUUGAAAACUAUGAAGAAGCACCGUGCUGCUAUUGGAUAUACUCUUGAUGAUCUUAAGGGCAUUAGUCCCACUCUAUGUCAACACAAAAUAAAUUUGGAGAAAGAUGCCAAACCAGUUAUAGAUCACCAACGACGGCUGAGUCCUAAGAUGAAAGAAGUGGUAAGAAAGGAUAUACUAAAGUUCCUUGAGGCAGGUAUAAUUUAUCCCGUUGCUGAUAGUCAGUGGGUAAGUCAUGUCCAUUGUGUCCCUAAGAAGGGAGGUAUUACUAUCGUUCCUAAUGAUAAAGAUGAAUUGAUUUCGCAAAGAAUUAUUACAGGUUAUAGGAUGGUAAUUGAUUUCCGUAAAUUGAAUAAGGCUACUAAAAAGGAUCAUUACCCCUUACCUUUUAUUGAUCAAAUGCUGGAAAGAUUAUCCACACACACACACAUUUUUCCUUUCUAGAUGGUUAUUAUGGUUUCUCUCACAUACCUGUGUCAGCUGAUGAUCAAGCAAAGACCACUUUUACUUGCCCUUUCGGUACUUUUGCUUAUAGACAUAUGCCUUUUGGUUUAUGUAAUGCACCUACUACCUUUCAAAGAUGCAUGAUGGCUAUAUUCUCUGAUUUUUGUGAAAAGAUUUGUGAGGUUUUCAUGGACGAUUUCUCCGUUUAUGGAUCCUCUUUUGAUGAUUCCUUGAGCAACCUUGAUCCAAUUUUGCAGAGAUGUGAAGAAACUAACCUUGUCUUGAAUUGGGAGAAGUGCCACUUUAUGGUUAAUGAAGGCAUUGUCUUGGGGCAUAAAAUUUCUGUAAGAGGCAUUGAAGUUGAUAAAGCCAAGGUUGAUGCUAUUGAAAAGAUGCCAUGUCCCAAGGACAUCAAAGGUAUAAGAAGUUUCCUUGGUCAUGCCAGUUUUCAUAGGAGGUUCAUUAAGGACUUCUCAAAAAUUUCUCGGUCUCUAACUAAUCCAUUACAAAAAGAUAUACCAUUUGUCUUUGAUGAUGAUUGUGUAGGAGCAUUUGAAAUACUUAAGAAAGCAUUGAUUUCUGCACCUAUUGUUCAGCCACCUGAUUGGAAUUUACCCUUUGAAAUUAUGUGUGAUGCUAGUGAUUAUGCUGUAGGUGAUGUUCUAGGGCAAAGAGUUGAUAAGAAAUUAAAUGUCAUUCAAUAUGCUAGUAAAACUCUAGACAGUGCCCAGAGAAAUUAUGCUACUACUGAAAAAAAAAUUUAGCAGUUGUAUUUGCUUGUGAUAAGUUCAGACCUUAUGUUGUUGAUUCUAAAGUAACUAUUCACAUGGAUCAUGCUGCUAUUAAAUAUCUUAUGGAAAAGAAAGAUGCUAAACCUAGACUUAUUAGAUGGGUUCUCUUGCUAGAAGAAUUUGAUUUGCAUAUUAUUGAUAGAAAGGGAGCUGAGAACCCCGUUGCGGACAACUUGUCUAGGUUAGAAAAUGUUCUUGAUGACCCACUACCUAUUGAUGAUAGCUUUCCUGAUGAACAAUUAAAUGUCAUAAAUGCUUCUCAAACUGCUCCAUGCUAUGCUGAUUAUGCUAAUUACACUGUUGCUAAAUUUAUACCAUCCAGUUUCACAUACCAGCAAAAGAAAAAAAAUUCUAUGAUUUGAGACAUUACUUUUGGGAUGACCCACAUCUUUAUAAAGAAGGAGUAGAUGGUGUUAUUAGACGUUGUGUACCCGAGCAUGAAUAUGAACAGAUCCUACGCAAGUGUCACUCCGAGGCUUAUGGAGGACACCACGCUGGAGAUAGAACUGCACAUAAGGUAUUGCAAUUCAGUUUUUAUUAGCCUACUCUCUUCAAGGAUGCCCGUAAGUUUGUCUUAUCUUGUGAUGAAUGUCAAAGAAUUGGUAAUAUUAGUAGACGUCAAGAAAUGCCUAUCAAUUAUUCACUUGUCAUUGAACCAUUUGAUGUUUGGGGCUUUGAUUAUAUGGGACCGUUUCCUGCCUCUAAUGGAUAUACACAUAUUUUAGUUGUUGUUGAUUACGUUACUAAGUGGGUAGAAGCUAUUCCAACUAGUAGUGCUGAUCAUAACACCUCUAUUAAGAUGCUUAAAGAAGUUAUUUUUCCUAGGUUUGGAGUCCCUGGAUAUCUAAUGACUGAUGGUGGUUCACAUUUUAUUCAUGGAGCCUUUCGUAAAAUGCUUGCCAAGUAUGAUGUUAAUCAUAGAAUUGCAUCUCCUUAUCACCCACAGUCUAGUGGUCAAGUAGAAUUGAGUAAUAGAGAACUCAAAUUAAUUUUGCAAAAGACUGUUAAUAGAUCUAGAAAGAAUUGGUCCAAGAAACUUGAUGAUGCAUUAUGGGCUUAUAGAACUGCAUAUAAAAAUCCUAUGGGUAUGUCUCCGUAUAAAAUGGUCUACGGAAAAGCAUGUCACUUACCUCUCGAACUAGAACAUAUGGCAUAUUGGGCUAUUAAAGAGCUCAACUAUGAUUUCAAACUUGCCGGUGAGAAGAGGUUAUUUGACAUUAGCUCACUUGAUGUAUGGAGAACCCAAGCUUAUGAGAAUGCCAAACUAGUUAAAGAAAAAGUUAAAAGAUGGCAUGACAAAAGAAUACAAAAGCGUGAGUUUAAUGUAGGAGAUUAUGUAUUAUUAUACAACUCUCGUUUAAGUUUUUUGCAGGAAAACUUCUCUCUAAAUGGGAAGGCCCUUACGUUAUCGAGGAGGUCUAUCGUUCCGGUGCCAUAAAAAUCAACAACUUCGAAGGCACAAAUCCGAAGGUGGUGAACGGUCAAAGAAUCAAACAUUAUAUCUCAGGUAAUCCUAUAAAUGUUGAAACCAAUGUUAUUGAAACCGUAACCCCAGAGGAAUACAUAAGGGACACUUUCCAGAACAUUUCAGACUCCGAGAAGGAAUAGGUAUGUGGUACGGUAAGUAAACCGACUUCAAAACAGUUCUAAUGGCAAUUUUUCUCCGUUUUGGAAUAUUUAGAAAAAUAGAAAAAUAAGAAGCAGUCCGGGAAUGACACGAGGGUGGAGGGCGUGCCCUACCCCCCUGGGCGCGCCCCUGCCUCCUGGGCACCUCGUGCGCUCUCCGGACUCCGUUUUCUUGCACGAUACGUAUUUUGGUCUGUAAAAAUUCAUUAUAUAAUCUCCCGAAAGUUUUGACUCCCGUAUCACGCAAUUAUCCUCUGUUCUUGUUUCGAGCUGCUUUCUGUCAGGGUUGUCAAGGCCAGGCAUCAUGUCGUCCCCCUCCUCCAACAAUGGUGACAACGAUGCUUGGCUAAUGAAGAUAGAGCUGGAGAGGGAAGAACCCAUGGAGAUCAACAAGGAUGAAGGGAUCAAGAAGGCCACGGAGGACCAAGUUCCCGCAACAGAAGACAUCCUUCAACUUGAUCACAAUCUUCUUACCCCAACUAAGAUCGAAGCUUUCAAGAUGAUUGAGUUAGCUCGUAUACAAAACAAGUAUCUCACACGUGAAAAUAUUUUGUUGAAGGAGCAUAUCGUUGCACUCAAGGGCAUUAUCUGCAAGUUGGAGGAUCUCUUACGCUCAAUGUGCGACUACCCAUCAUCACCACCAUCUUCUUCACCAGCAAAGGAGACAUAAUCAUAUGGGUAUGGGCACUCCCCUUGGCAACUGCCAAGCUUGGGGGAGGUGCCCCGGUAUCGUAUCACCAUCACACUCCUAUCUUUACAUUUUUCUUGGCUCGAUCCUUUUAGUAGUAUCUUGAUCUAGUAGAAUAAAGUUUUUGGUAUGAUCUAGUUUUGAGUUUUGCUUUAUGAUUCCCUUAUGUAAUCGAGUCCGUGAGCUAUAUAAUAAAGAUUAGUGUUGAGUCAAGGGUUUGAUUAUUUUGCUAUGAUCUUGGGGGAAUAAAAUAAAAAGAAAGAAUAAAAAGAAAUAAAGAGAUCAUAUUGAUCUUAUGGAGAGUAAUGACUUCACAUAGAAAGAGUAUGAUGAUUAAAAGUUGUUGAGAGUUGACAAACAUAGCUUUGGUCAUCGUUGCAAUUAAUAGGAAGUAAUAAAGAAAGAGAGGUUUCACAUAUAAAUAUACUAUCUUGGACAUCUUUUAUGAUUGUGAGCACUCAUUAAAAUAUGACAUGCUAAAGAGUUGAUGUUGGACAAGGAAGACAACGUAAUGGGUUAUGUUUUCUUAUAUCUAAGAUAAAGUAUAUUGUCAUGGAUCAUCCAACAUGUUGAGCUUGCCUUUCUCCCUCAUGCAAGCCAAUUUCUUUGCACCAAGUAGAGAUACUACUUGUGCUUCCAAUACCCUUAAACCCAGUUUUGCCAUGAGAGUCCACCAUAUCUACCUAUGGAUUGAGUAAGAUCCUUCAAGUAAGUUUUCAUCAGUGCAAGCAAUAAAAAUAAAAGCGACGGACUGCAUAAUAAAGGUCCAUAUCACAAGUGGCAAUAUAAAGUGACGUUCAUUUGCAUUAAGAUUUCGUGCAUCCAACCAUGAAAGCGCAUGACAACCUCUGCCUCCCUCUGCGAAGGGCCUAUCUUUUACUUUUAUCUUCUACCUUAUGCAAGAGUCAUAGUGAUCUGCACCUUUCCUUUUUACAUUUUAUCCUUUGGCAAGCACCUUGUGUUGGAAAGAUCCUGAUAUAUAUAUCCAAUUGGAUGUAAGUUAGCAUGAACUAUUAUUGUUGACAUUACCCUUGAGGUAAAAGGUUGGGAGGCGAAACUAUAAGCCCCUAUCUUUCUGUGCGUCCGAUUAAAACUCCGUAACCACAAGUAUUGCGUGAGUGUUAGCAAUUCUGAAAGACUAAAUGAUAGUUGAGUAUGUGGACUUGCUGAAAAGCUCCCAUAUAGACUCUUUCCGAUGUUAUGAUAAAUUGUAAUUGCUUCAAUGACUGAGAUUAUAGUUUGUUGGUUCUCAAUGAAGUUUCUGAUUCAUACUUGACAUUGUGGAUAGAUUAUUACUUGAGCAUAAGAAAUCAUAUGACAAUAUCCAUAUAUGUUGCUGUUAUAAGAAUGAUCAUGAUGCCCUCAUGUCCGUAUUUUAUUUUAUUGACACCUCUACCUCUAAAACAUGUGGACAUAUUUAUCGUUAUCGGCUUCAGCUUGAGGACAAGCAAGGUCUAAGCUUGGGGGAGUUGAUACGUCCAUUUUGCAUCAUGCUUUUAUAUCAAUAUUUAUUGCAUUAUGGGCUAUUAUUACACAUUAUGUCACAAUACUUAUGCCUAUUCUCUCUUAUUUUACAAGGUUUACAUGAAGAGGGAGAAUGCCGGCAGCUGGAAUUCUGGGCUGGAAAAGGAGCAAAUAUUAGAGACCUAUUCUGCACAACUCCAAAAGUCCUGAAACUCCACGGAAGUUAUUUUCAGAAUAUAUAAAAAAUAUUGAGCGGGAGAUAUACUAGAGGGGGGCCACCCACCAGGCACGAGGGUGGGGGCGCGCCCCCCUGCCUCGUGGGCCCCUUGGUGGCCCUCCGGUGGCCAUCUUCUGCUAUAUGAAGUCUUUCGUCCGAAGAAAAAUCAUAAGCAAGCUUUCGGGACGAGACUCCGCCGCCACGAGGCAGAACCUUGGCGGAACCAAUCUAGGGCUCUGGCGGAGCUGUUCUGCCAGGGACACUUCCCUCCGGGGUGGGUAAAUCAUCGCCAUCGUCAUCACCAACGCUCCUCUCAUCGGGAGGGGGCCAAUCUCCAUCAACAUCUUCACCAGCACCAUCUCCUCUCAAACCCUAGUUCAUCUCUUGUAUCCAAUUUUUUGUCUCUAAGUCUGGGAUUGGUACCUGUGGGUUGCUAGUAGUGUUGAUUACUCCUUGUAGUUGAUGCUAGUUGGUUUAUUUGGUGGAAGAUCAUAUGUUCAGAUCCUAUAUGCAUAUUAAUACUCCUCUGAUUAUGAACAUGAAUAUGCUUUGUGAGUAGUUACGUUUGUUCCCGAGGACAUGGGAGAAGUCUUGCUAUUAGUAGUCAUGUGAAUUUGGUAUUCGUUCGAUAUUUUGAUGAGAUGUAUGUUGUCUCUCCUCUAGUGGUGUCAUGUGAACGUCGACUACAUGACACUUCACCAUUAUUUGGGCCUAGAGGAAGGCAUUGGGAAAUAAUAAGUACAUGAUGGGUUGCUAGAGUGACAGAAGCUUAAACCCUAGUUUAUGCGUUGCUUCGUAAGGGGCUGAUUUGGAUCCAUAUGUUUCAUGCUAUGGUUAGGUUUACCUUAAUACUUCUUUUGUAGUUGCGGAUGCUUGCAAUAGGAGUUAAUCAUAAGUGGGAUGCUUAUCCAAGUAAGGACACUACCCAAGCACCGUUCCACCCACAUAUCAAAUUAUCAAAGUACCGAACGCAAAUCAUAUGAACGUGAUGAAAACUAGCUUGAUGAUAAUUCCCAUGUGUCCUUAGGAGCGCUUUUCUCUAUAUAAGAGUUUUUCUAGGUUUGUCCUUUGCUACAAAAAGGAUUGGGCCACCUUGCUGCACUUAACUUACCUUUGUUACUUGUAGCUCGUUACAAAUUAUCUUAUCACAAAACUAUCUGUUACCUAUAAUUUCAGUGAUUGCAGAGAAUACCUUGCUGAAAACCGCUUAUCAUUUCCUUCUGCUCCUCGUUGGGUUCGACACUCUUACUUAUCGAAAGGACGACGGUAGAUCCCCUAUACUUGUGGGUCAUCAAUCAAGAAGAAGUGAACGUUCGAGGACAUUGAGGAUGAAGAAGAAGAUGCCACUAUGGGGAAUUACGAUUCAGACUGAUACACAUGGCGAAGAUGUUGACGCUACUGCUGCGGAUGAUGAUUAGAUUGCUUUUGUCGUAUUUGCCUGUUAGAAGACGUUUUUUUAUGUACUAUGUGAAAUUGUUUUUGCUAUGACAACUGAAACCUAAUGAACGUGUUGGUUAGUAUUUUGUUGUGAGAACAUCACUUGUUAUGUAUGUUGAUUUGUGUUUGGUGAUUGUAUGACGAGUAAAACACGAUGACAUUGUUGUUUAGUUGUACUCAUAUUUGGCUGUGAAACUUGAAUUUGAUGACAUAGUUUGCUGUUGGACUGUAAUUUGCUCGACGUCUUUGAACGGGAACAAAACUGACCCGACAGGGCCUCUGCUAAUUUAUUUAUUUAUUACCAAAAGGGCCUCUGCUAUUUAUUUAUUUUUGAUCAAAAGGGGAUACCCCCCGAUUUCCGUUAAUAGAAAUCAUUAGAUGUUCACAACACUACACCCAGCCUGCUACACAGGUUUCAUUCAUUACUAGUUUCAGCAAAGUGCUCAUGUCAUAGCCACUGAAUACAUCACGAGUGCUACAUACACUACAAAUAAAGAGACAAUCAUCCUACAGAGCACAUCAAUUUUGCCCAUUAUCUUCACAAGCUCUUUCAUCUCCUCAUUGCUAUCAAGUCCGUUCAGCAGUUGUUGCUUGGCCAUGAUCAGAGGAACUGCAUCUUUAACCUUCUGCUCUGCAUCUUCCUCUUCUGCCGUUCCUUCAGUUACUUGUCCAACACCCCAACCUGCUGGUAUUGGGAUUCCUCGGCUAACCAAAUAAUCAGCAUAGUUGCAUUCCCCCAGAUCAGCAACUUCCCAGAAAUAUAAAUCACACAAAUCUUCCCUUUUCUGCACAAAUCAAAUUGGAAGAUCAUCAACCAAACUAUUAAAAAAAUCAGCAACUGAAAGCAGCAGAACAACACUUAAACAUAUUAUUAAGCCAUGAUUCGGGCAUUUGUAGAAGACUCGGCAAGGGUUGAGGAUUGUGGUUGAGACGCGACGGUUGACUCUGCGUGAUUUGCAGCAGUGGCACCACACCAACGGCAGCGGGUUGCGAUGAGCAACCGGCUGCGGUGCGUGUGCCGGCGGGGGUGUGAUGAGACCCAUAGGUGAUGGUACGGGUGGCGACUUGGCGCAUAUCUGGUUGUUGCCUGCUGAAGAGCAGGUGGACGAGCAGCCAGCGGACAUGGUUGCUGCGGCCAGAGCUUCUGAUGCUAGGCAGAGUAAGUAGAGAAGAGGAGAAGCAAAUGUUGGAUAUGUCAGUUUCAUUACUUGUAGAGUAGCAUAGCACCAUAUAUAGUCAUAGUCUAGGUUUGGAUGCGAACCAGCUACAGGAGCACGUCUCUCUUUUUUCUAAAACUCAGCAAUGUCUCUUUACUGGUACACUAGCUUGUUAUGUACGCCUUCUCAAGUCUUUGAUUUUCUUUCUGUUUUUUGCGAGGAAGGAAGGAGGACAAAAUUGAGAGUUCCUGGGACUCGAACCCAAGGCCUCUCGGUUUAAUACCAAGGGUGCUAGUCACUUAUGUGGCGAAUGUUCCCUGGGAGGAGGACGACAGACGAACGCAUUUUCCUCGCAGUUUUAGUUGUGACACAAGAUCGAACGGUCGUAGUUUAGGAAAUGUUACCUGGCGAACGAGCCCAAUUUUCUUUUCUUCCUAUAUAUAAAAAAGUAUGCUACUUGGUGUCGGCUUAGUCAACAAACGAUUGUGCCAACCUUGACAGUUGGAUUGACAUUCAACGUCUGUCGUGUUUCUUCAGUCUCUUCUUCCUCCGGCCACCGAAGCCAAACCAGCGCCGCCGGGACGCCUGCUCCCGCCUCCCACGGCUGGCUGUGCUGCCGCGCACGCAUCGUGGCCACAUCGCACCCUAAAACUCUGUGCAUCUUCCCUGGCUCCUGUUCGUUCCCGCCCGAGGCGUAACCAUCGUCCUCCGCCUUGGUUCGCUCGCCGCAGCGCCACCCUCCGGUGUUGUCAACAUGGUCAACAACCGAGAGGAAUAAGGAGAUGACUGUGCAUGGUGAGGAUGACAGUAGGGACCCAGCAGCGCGUGCAGUAAUUUUGUUUUUUCGGGACGGAGAAGCAUAUCAACUGGGUUGUGCGGGAGCUGUGGCCCAUCUAGCCCAGGCUUUUAUUUCAUAUGUUUAGCACAUGACUAGCCCAGUUUGUUUUUUCCUUUCUUAAAAUGGCUAGCCCAGCUAUUUUUUGCAGAAUAACCAACGUGGGCCUACUUGCUUUUCUACGCCCUGCUGGGCCGGAAAUCUUUCAAGACGAGGAGGGAUGCAUUUUGCCCAGAAAAUGAGCUAUAAGUAAUACGAAAUGGGCUAGAAGUAAUAAUAAAUGGGCUGUAAAAUGAAAAAAUACAGCAAACACGCAAUUAGUUCCAGAAUGCGUUUUUCUUUCGGAUUUUGAUAUUUUAAAUUUCAUUGUUUUUGUGCGGGUAAAAUUUCAUUGGAUUUAAAUUAAGGUAUGUUUAGUUUUUAAAUUAAUUUGAAUCUGGCUAGAAAUUUCGGGCUGUAUGCUGUUUGGGACAGAUUUGGAGGCUGACUUGUGGGUCUACUAGGUUGACGUGUACGAAAGGCUUUGUCAACUUAGUCCACAAACAAUUCUAGCAGCAGUGACCAUUGGAUGUUAAUCCAACGGCCGUGCUGCUUCUUCAAUAUCUGAUCUUCCUGCUCCCGCCGCCCAAAGCAGCGCCGGUGGGACUGCCUGCUCCCGCCUCCCGUGGCCGGCUGUGCUGCCGCACAGGCUGCACCGCCCCACCCUACUCCAUUGCUGGCCAGGCCAUUCCUCUACUCACCCGCACCUCCUGUUAUUUUCCGGCGACGGCAGUCGGACCAGUAAACCCUCGUACUCCCCACCACGUGGGCAACCACUGCCGAGUCUUCCCCGGAUCCGUGUCAUUCCCUUCCUAGGCCUUGCCGUCGUCCACCGCCCUGGUGCUCUCAGCGCGGCGUGGUCAACGUGUUCACCGAAUGACAUCCAUCGGACGUGGACUGUACGUGGAGAGGCUGACAGCUGGGUCCACGGCCGCAGAUAAGGAAAUGCCUCCUUAUUACACGCAAAAUAAUGAUUCUUCCACCUAACAUCUGGGACCCACCGGAAGGGCCUCUGUAUUUCGCGAGUAAAACUUUCCCCCCACUGAUAGGUCGGACACACCAGUUAUAUCUUCGCACGCAAGGAAGUGCCUCCUUAUUACGCACAAAAAAUGAAUACUCCCCCUGCUAGCUGGGACCCAGCAUAGUGGGAGGCUGACUUGGGCCUACUAAGUUGAUGGGGACGGAGGGCUUUGUCAACUUAGUCAAUAUGAACGAUUCUAGCUCCAGUGACCGUACGAUGUCCAUCCAACGGCCGUAGUGCUUCUUCAACCUCUAUUCUUCUCGCUCUAGCCGCCCAAAGCAGCGCCGGUCGUGGCGCCUGCUCCUGCCUCCCGUGGCCGGCUAUCCUGCCGCGGAGGCCUCACCGCCCCCUACUACUCCCAUCGCUAGCCAGGCCAUCCCUCCACACACCCACACCCCCUAUUAUUCUGCAGUGACGGCAGCCUCACACCGAAGCCGAACCAGUGAACCCUCAUACUCCUCUCCGCGUGGGCAUCCACUGCCGCGUCUUCCCCAGCUCCGCGUCGUCCCCUUCCUAGGCCUCGCCGUCGUCCGCCGCCCUGGUGCUCUCGGCGGGGCGUGGUCAACGUGGUCAAGGAACGACUUCCAUCAGAAGAGUACUGUACGUGGAGAGGCUGACAGCUGGGUCCACUGCCGUAGCAAGGAAGUGCCUCCUUAUUACGCGGAAAAUAAUGAUUCCUCCACCUAACAGCAGGGACCCACCGGACGGGCCACCAUAUUUCAUGAAAAAAAUGUUUCCCCCUGACUGCUGGGACCCACCAGCUACAUCUUCACACGCAAGGAAGUGCGUCCAUAUUAUGGGAAAAAAUGAUUCGCCCCCUGACUGCUGGGACCCACCAGCUACAUCUUCGCACGCAAGGAAGUGCCUGACGGUCGGGACCGACCCGGUCGAAGUGUACGUAGCGCUGUCAUUCUAGUCGCGAACGUGUACGUACAUACGAUCGGUCUGUCUGCAGGCUGCAGCGAUGAACCGUGGCCGUGUAAUGAAGGGCACGUGUCGUAGUAGAGGCAUGCACCUAGCAUGUACACGUACGUACAGCGGCCAGGGUGCGAGAAAGUAAAUACGGCCAUGUACGUACAUACAGGCGGGGUCUCGAACACCUAUUCGCGCAUACGUACGGCCAGGGCUCGUGUACAUGGCUGGGUCAGAACGGAGAAACUGCGUCGUCGUCGUGUUCAUGGGGAGGCAACGGAAUGCGUCGUGUUCAUCGGGAGGCAACGGAACGCGUGCUGUUCAUCGGGAGCCAACCGGCUUGGACGGAACAACUGAUGGAAACGAGGCAUGGCGUACGGAAGAACGGAGGAAACGACCUUGUGUUCGACCGACUACGGUGGAAACGGGAUCCUGUUCAUCGGGAGGGGUCAAGCAUACCGCAAAACAGAGGAAACGGACCUCCUGCAGUCGAAACGGGGUCCUGUUGAUCGGGAGGGGUGUGGUGUACCGCAAAACGGAGGAAACGGACUUGUGUUGGAGCGCUACGGUCAAAAUGGGUGUCCUGUUCAUCAGGAGGGGUGUGGCGUACCGCAAAAUGGGACUCCACGGGACACUGUUCAUCUCCACCGUCGACUGCCUCCAUGGGCUACUGUUCAUCCACCGUUGAGUGCCUUCACGGCUUCAUCCACCGUCGACCUCCUCCAGCCUCCACCUGCGACUAUUCAUCCACAUGCUCCUAUUCAUCCAGCCAACACCGCGCGCUCCUCCACCGGCUACUGUUCAACCAGCCCUCCAUGGGGUCCUGUUCAUCCACCGACUCGAUCGAUCGGGGUCCUGUUCAUCCAGCGGCAAUAGCCUCUACUACCACGGGGUCCUGUUCAUCCAACCCCCCACCGGGAACUGUUCAUCCAAACCCCCAACAACGCUCACUGUUUAUCCCGAGGCAUCAUCGAUUGGCUUCAGUUAGCAGCAGUAGCGAAGGAAUCACACUCGGGUUCAGUUAACAGCAAGGGAUCGAUCGGGGUUCAGUAAUGUGUAGCAUGCAGUGCAAUCGCUCGGGUUCAGUUAGAGCCCAACGCCUCGCUCGGGUUCAGUUAGAGUGCAACGCCUCGCACACACGCGCAUACGUAUGAAAGAAAUGCGCAUCGCUCAGCCGCCAACCACCCACCGUAACCGAGAACUCCCCCGAUAUUUUCCUCGCCCCCGCUUCUACCACGGUUUUCUCCAUCAUGGACGGCCCAAAGAAUGUCAUGCAGCUGCAUCUCCGACCCGCCCAGGACGAAAAGCCCAUUUUCUGUCAUGAUUUUUUGUCAUAGAAGUAGGAGCCCACCACAUCUAUGAUGAUACCAGGUUUUGUCACAAUUAUCGUCAUAGAAGUGCCAUAAGAAUGACAGAAAAAAAUUCGUUCGGCCCAAAAUGUCACGGAUGUGUCUUUUUUUGUAGUGCAUAUUGUCGUAGUGUAUAGGUGAAGCCCUGCGUGGGUCACAUCACCAACACCAUCACCACCCCGUCGUGCUGACGGAACUCUCCCUCGACCCUCUACUGGAUCAGGAGCUCGAGGGACGUCAUUGUGCUGAACGUGUGCUGAACACGGAGGUGCCGUACAUUCGGUACUUGUAUCGGUUGGAUCGUGAGGACGUUCGACCAGAUCAACCGCAUUAACUAAACUCUUCCGCUUUCGGUCUACGAGGGUACGUGGACACACAUCUCCCCGCUCGUUGCUAUGCUUCUCCUAGAUAGAUCUUGCGUGAUCGUAGGAAAUUUCUUGAAUUACUACGUUCCCCAAUAGUGGUAUCAGAGCCAGGUCUAUGCGUAGAUGAUAUAUGCAUGAGUAGAACACAAUGAGUUGUGGGCGAUAAUAGUCAUACUGCUUACCACCAACGUCUUACUUUGAUUCGGCGGUAUUGUUGGAUGAAGCGGCUCGGACCAACAUUACAUGACCACGUUCAUGAGACUGGUUUGUCUGUUUCUCCAACUUUAGUUGAAUCGAGUUUGACUACGGCCGGUCCUUGUUGAAGGUUAACUAAAAAAACACACUUGACAAAAAAUCGUUGUGGUUUUGAUGCGUAGGUAAGAACGGUUCUUGCUAGAAGCCCGUAGCAGCCACGUAAAACUUGCAGCAACAAAGUAGAGGACGUCUAACUUGUUUUUGCAGGGCAUGUUGUGAUGUGAUAUGGUCAAGACGUGAUGUGAUAUGGUCAAGACGGGAUGAGAUAUAAAUUGUUGUAUGAGAUGAUCAUGUUUUGCCAAAGUUAUCGGCAACUGGCAGGAGCCUUAUGGUUGUCGCUUUAUUGUCUGAAAUGCAAUCACCAUGUAAUUGCUUUACUUUACCACUAAGCGGUAGCGAUAAUUGAUGUCGCUCGAAGCUACGUCGGUGUUUCCCCAAAGAGGAAGGGAUGAUACAGCACAACAGCGGUAGGUAUUUCCCCAAAUAUGAAACCAAGGUUAACGAACCAGUACGAGAACCAAGCAACAGAACGUAAACAUCCCCUGCACACAAAUAACAACACCUCGCAACCCAACGUGUUAAAGGGGUUGUCAAUCCCUUUCGGGUACAACGCCUCAAACGGUGCGGACGGGAAAUAAAUUGUAGUAGAUUGGAUAAAUAGAUCGCAAAUAAAAUAAAGUGCAGAAAAGUAUUUUUGGUUUAAUAGAUCUGAAAAUAAAUGCAAGAGAAAAGUAUAUCGCAAAGGCAAAUAUAUGAGAAAGAAGACUCGGGGGCCGUAUGUUUCACUAGUGGCUUCUCUCGAGAAAAAUAGCACACGGUGGGUAAACAAAUUACUGUUGGGAAAUUGAUAGAACUUCGAAUAGUCAUGAUGAUAUCCAAGCAAUGAUCAUUAUAUAGGCAUCACAUCCAUGAUUAGUAGAUCGACUCCUGCCUGCAUCUACUACUAUUACUCCACACAUCGACCGCUAUCCAGCAUGCAUCUAGUGUAUUAAGUUCAUGGAAAAACGAAGUAAUGCAAUAAGAAUGAUGACAUGAUGUAGAUAAGAUCUAUCUAUGUAGAUAUAGACCCCAUCGUUUUAUCCUUAUUAGCAAUGAUACAUACGUGUCGGUUCCCAUUCUGUCACUGGGAUCAAGCACCGUAAGAUUGAACCCACUACAAAGCACCUCUUCCCAUUGCAAGAUAAAUAGAUCAAGUUGGCCAAACAAAACCCAAAUAUGGGAGAAGAAAUACGAGGCUAUAAGAGAUCAAAGAAACUCAAAUAACUUUCAUGGAUAUAAAAAGAUAUAACUGAUCAUGAACUCAAAGUUCAUCAGAUCCCAACAAACACAGCGCAAAAGAGUUGCAUCAUAUGGAUCUCCAAGAGACCAUUGUAUUGAGAAUUCAGUGAGAGAGAGGAAGCCAUCUAGCUACUAACUACGGACCUGAAGGUCUACAAAGAACUACUCACGCAUCAUAGGAGAGGCACCAAUGGAGGUGGUGAACCCCAUCCGAGAUGGUGUCUAGAUUGGAUCUGGUGGUUCUGGACUCUACGGCGGCUGGAUCAAUAUUUCGUCGACUCCCUAGGGUUUUGGUAAUAUUGGGGUAUUUAUAGGGCAAAGAGGCGGUCCGAGGGGCACCCGAGGUGGGCACAAUCCACCAGGGCGCACCUGGGCCUCCUGGCGCGCCCUGGUGGGUUGUGCCCCCGUCGGGGCACCCCCCAGGCGCAGCCAGGGCCCAUUAUGUUCCUUCUGGUCCCAAAAAAUCAACGUGAAGUUUUGUUGCAUUUGGACUUCGCCUCAUAUUGAUUUCCUGCGAUGUAAAAAAACAUGCAGAAAACAACAACUAGCACUUGGCACUAUGUCAAUAGGUUAGUACCAAAAAAUGAUAUAAAAUGACUAUAAAAUGAUUGUAAAACAUCCAAGAUUGAUAAUAUAACAACAUGGAAUAAUCAAAAAUUAUAGAUACGUUGGAGACGUAUCAGCAUCCCCAAUCUUAACUCCUACUCAUCCUCGAGUAGGGAAGUGAUAAAAACAGAUUUUUUGAUGUGGAAUGUUGCUAACAUGUCAUAUCAUAUUCUUUUCUUUAUAACAUGGGCAUUUGAACUUUAUGUGAUUCAAAGCAAUAGUCUAGUUUUGACAUGAUAAUUUAGAUACUCAAGCAUAUCAACAAGCAACCAGGUCUUUCAAAAUAUCAACGCUAAAAUAAGUUAUCCCUAGCCCAUCAUGCUCAACCAUUAAUCCAUUCAUGAAACACACUUGAACAUUAGCUACACCCAAUACUUAAGUACGAUCAUCUUGCCUCCAAGUUGGUGCUUUUAUAAGAGAAGAUGGAGACUCAAAUUCAAAAAUAAAAAUUGCAUAAAGUAAAAGAAAGGCCCUUCGCAGAGGGAAGUAGGGAUUUGCAGAGGUGCCAGAGCUCAAAGCGAAAAAUUAGAGAUAAAACCAUUUUGGAGGUGUAUCCAUCCCAACACUUUCCAUGCUAGAUAUAUCAUAGGCGGUUCCUGAGGGAGUCCUGGACUAAGGGGUCCUCGGGCGUCCGGCCUGUUAGCCAUGGGCCGGACUGAUGGGCUGUGAAGAUACGAAGACCGAAGACUGCACCCGUGUCCGGAUGGGACUCUCCUGGCGUGGAAGGCAAGCUUGGCGAUUGAAUAUGUAGAUUCCUUUCCAUUGUAACCGACCAUGUGUAACCCUAGAUCCUCCCGGUGUCUAUAUAAACUGGAGGACUUAGUCCGGAAAGGGGAGACUCAUGACCAUAGUCAUACAGGCUAGGCUUUUACGGUUUAGCCAUCUCGAUCUCGUGGUAGAUCAACUCUUGUAAUACUCAUAUUCAUCAAGAUCAAUCAAGCAGGAAGUAGGGUAUUACCUCCAUAGAGAGGGCCCGAACCUGGGUAAACAUCGUGUCCCUUGUCCCCUGUUACCAUCGACCUUAGACGCACAGUUCGGGACCCCCUACCCGAGAUCCGCCGGUUUUGACACCGACAUUGGUGCUUUCAUUGAGAGUUCCACUGUGCCGUCCCCAAAAGGUUUGAUGGCCCCAUCAAUCGUCGACAAUGACGCUGUCCAAGGAGAAACCUUUCUCCCUGGACAGAUCUUCGUAUUCGGCGGCUUCACGCUGCGGGCCAACUCGUUUGGCCACCUGGAGCAGAUCGAUAGCUACGCCCCUGGCCAUCAGAUCAGAUUUGGGAGCUUGAAUUACGUUGCGGACAUCCGUGGAGAUUUGAUCUUCGCCGGAUUCGAGACCGCGGCCACUGCUCCUGGUCACCUUGACGAACAUGACCUAAAUCUGUUGUCAGACCGCAUCCAGGAGAUAGCUCAUGCGACCACUCUGGACUUAGGUCCAGAGCACACUGCGGCAUCCAAGGAUUGGAGGCUCAACCCCACCACAGAGGCCACAGAUUCCCCGGCGUUGAAGCCGCACAUGGACUUAAGCUCACACAAUAUCUGUGUCACCGGAAUUUCGGACUCGUCUUUGGUUAUAAGUUCCGAACCAUGUGAGCCUGCGGACGCCGAACUUGAUCGUUUAUCAAUCUUUGAAUUUAGCGCCGCAGACACCAGCACUCGCCUUUGGGCAAUGUGCUAAACUCAUUAAAGAUCCUGUGCUUGGCGUGGGACUCGCCGCCGAACUAUGUCCGGUUCGAACUAGGGGCUGAUGAUCGAGAUUUUUGCUUCCCACCCGCCACCCACUUCAUACCCCACUGUCGAGCACUUAACUGACAUGCUUGAUUACGACUCCGAAGACAUCGACGGUAUGGACGACGAUGCCGACGGAGAGCAAGGCCAAGACCCGCCAUUCACUGGACAUUGGACGGCCACUUCCUCAUAUGACGUAUACAUGGUAGAUACGCCCAAAAAUAAUAGCGGUGAUGACAAGGAAAACCCAGCGAAGGAGGACCCUCCUAAGACACAACCAAAGCGCCGGCGUCAACGGCGCCGCUCUAAAUCGCGCCGCAGUAAAGACAACAACACAGGAAACGACAACACUCCGGAUGGUGCCGAAGAAACAGAGGAGCCCGAGGAACAAACUGCCCAACAAGACCAUCGGGAAGAGGGGCAAGUCAGGCCUGACGAACAGGCCACGGAAGAAGACUCGGAGGACGGUAGUUACCAUCCGCUCUCCGAGGAGGAGGUGAGCCUCGGCAACGAAGACUUCACCGUGCCUGAGGAACCUCUUGAGCAGGAGCGCUUUAAGCUUCAGCUAAUAGCCACUGCGAGGAGCCUGAAAAAGAAGCAGCAGCAGCUUCAAGCUGAUCAAGACCUGCUCAAUGACAGAUGGACCGAUGUCCUGGCAGCCGAAGAAUAUGGCCUUAAACGACCAGCCAAAAGUUACCCGAUGCGCAAAUUGCUACCUCAAUUCGACGAUGAGGCACCAGAGCCCGCACCAGCAUCACGCAAUGUGGUUGAUCGGCCACCGCGCGGCCGGGAUAAAACGGCAACCCGAGCCGAAAAACAGACAGUCCCACCUCGCUGUAAAGGUAGGGAUAAGACAGCUCGGGGCUAUACAUAUGACCUUCGUCAAGACCUAGACAGUAGAGCAGGACAUACAGGAUCGAUCUACAGAUCGCGAGGACGUGCCUUGACAUGCGACGACGGCUACCUAUUUGGAUGUGACAAACCUAGUCACGCCCGAGCAGAUAACCAUAGACGGACUCCAUCGGAGCUACGUCGCGACGUGGCUCGAUGUAGAGGCGCCGCACACCCUCUUUACUUCACAAAUGAAGUAAUGGACCAUGAAUUCCCCGAAGGGUUCAAACCCGUCAAUAUUGAAUCAUAUGACGGAACAACCGAUCCCGUAGUAUGGAUCGAGGAUUUUAUUCUCCACAUUCACAUGGCCCGCGGAGAUGACCUCCAUGCUAUCAAAUACCUCCCACUAAAACUCAAAGGGCCAGCUCGGCGCUAGUUAAACAGCCUGCCUGAAAAUUCCAUCGGCAGCUGGGAGGACUUGGAAGAAGCCUUUCUCGACAACUUCCAAGGUACAUAUGUCCGGCCACCAGACGCCGAUGACUUAAGCCACAUAGUUCAACAGCCCGGGGAGUCAGCCAGGAAAUUCUGGACUAGGUUCCUAACUAAAAAGAACCAGAUCGUCGACUGUCCGGAUGCAGAAGCCCUAGCGGCCUUUAAACAUUGCAUCUGCGAUGAAUGGCUCACCCGCCACCUCGGCCAAGAAAAGCCGAAAUAUAUUGCAGCCCUCAUGUCACUCAUGACCCGCUUUGUGCGGCUGAGGACAGCUGGCUGGCACAUAGUAAAAAUAUGGCCAGCGAAGCAGGCCCCUCCGAGGCUAAAAACAGCAACAGCAAGCUCCGAUGCAGCAGACACAAACGCCGAAGCAAUGGCAAUAACACCGAUGACAGUUCUGUAAACACCAGAUUCAGCGGCUCCAAGUCCGGUCAGCAGAAAAAGCCGUAUCAAAGAAACAAUCAAGGACCAUCUAGCAUGGACCGCAUACUUGACCGUCCAUGCCAAAUCCAUGGCACCCCACACAAACCAGCCAAUCAUACCAACAGAGAUUGUUGGGUUUUUAAGCAAGCCGUCAAGUUAAAUGCCGAGAAUAAGGAAAAGGGAUCGCAGAGCAAGGACGAUGACGAGGAGCCCCUGCAGCCAACUACAGGGGGACAGAAGAAGUGCCCCCCAGGUCAAAAUGGUGAGCAUGAUAUAUGCUACACACAUCCCCAAGAGGGAGCGCAAGCGCGCACUCAGGGACGUCUAUGCGAUGGAGCUAGUCGCCCCAAAAUUAAAUCCAUGGUCAUCGUGCCCGAUCACUUUUGACCGUCGGGAUCAUCCGACCAGUAUCCGGCAUGGCGGAUCCGCCGCACUAGUCCUAGCCCAAUCAUUGAUGGAUUCCACCUGACGCGAGUCCUCAUGGACGGUGGCAGCAGCCUCAAUCUGCUCUAUCAGGACACAGUACGCAAAAUGGGCAUUAACCCAUCACGGAUCACACCCACAAGGACCACCUUUAAAGGAGUCAUACCAGGCGUAGAGGCCCAUUGUAUGGGCUCCAUCACACUAGAGGUCAUCUUCGGAUCUCCGGACAACUUCCGAAGCGAAGAGUUAAUCUUUGAUAUCGUCCCCUUUUGCAGCGGCAAUCACGCACUGCUCGGACGAACCGCAUUCGCUCGAUUCAAUGCGGUACCUCACUACGCUUAUCGCAAGAUCAAGAUGCCCAGACCACGUGGCGUCAUAACAAUCAAAGGAAAUACGGAAUGCUCCCUCCGUACCGAGGAGCAUAUCACGGCCUUAGCAGCAGAAAUACAGCGCGGCCUUUUCCAGCAGAAACUUAGUUCAGCGGCCAAGCCCCCAGACACCAUUAAAAGAGUCUGGACUAUUCUGCAGCAAGACAGCCCGGCUCGUCAAGAGCUUAAUUAGCAAUUUGGCCUCCAUGCCAGUCCCGAUCAAACAGCGGCAUUCGUACCGCGCGUACAUAACUACGCAUCAAAAUCCCAUGGGCAUCAACGGAGGCAUAGCUAGCUCGUGAUCCAUAGUGUGGCUCGACCGACCCUGGAUUCGCACACCUUCACUGUUCCUUUUCAUUUCGGGUUUUUCUCUUUUGGAGGCUUCUUCUGAUAACCCGAUCUUCGGACCGAUCACGACAUGGACACACCAAGGAGGCAAGGAGCUUUGACGUACAAGGGAAUCCCCAGGUGGUCUCUGCUAACAAUUGCUAUACCUGUUUUACAUACCUGCACGCAGCUCGCUCUUGGUCAUGGCAUGUUAAAUAGCCUUACUUGCUUAUCGCAUUACUUGUACAAGUACGCCUUGACGUAUUAAUCACAUUACAAUGGAAAACAAAUGGUAGCGUUAGCUUAUUACUUGAUUUUUCUUUUUUCUUUACCUUUGUAUGUAUUACUCAUUGCACCCGUACACUCGGGUACAUUUUAUUUUACCAGGGGCUUUCACGCCCCGCAGUACGGCAAUAAAGUCCGAACACCUUUUUCAGUGCAGUUCAGCACCACGAACUUAUAGCAUUAUAUGCAUCUUCUCUGAAUCAUGUCUUUGGUCAAUUGUUGGGUUCCCGGGCUCCUGUGCUUACUACCUUACGUUCCGCUAUAUCGGCUAGGGUAGUAAAGGGAGAACUAUUGCGAUUGUGUCCCGGUUCUUCUAGACGAGCACCUCAGUAGAGAAAGCCGAAAACUUACUGUCAUGAUGCAGCGAGAGCUGGUCAGCUGUUCGAGAGGUUUCAAAUCCUUAGAGAUUUUUUCCGCUUUAUGCGAGGAAUCGGUUUUUCAUCCGAUCAGGUGUGUAUAACGCCCCAAGUUCGGCCUUCCGAAUACUAGGGGCUUCGCCAAAAUUCUCAUUGUCAAACUCCUAUGGCUAAGUGAGGGCGAUAAAGGCCGUAUAGUCUGAUUGCCUCAUUCAUUGCGCUAAACACCUCCUUUAAGGACCAGAAUAUGGAGUAAAGAGUGUUUAGAUUUAUCCUGAACACCCCCGUACUAUCUACGUGGGGGCAGAAGCCGACGACUGGCCAACGCUCAGAUUUCAUAAACGGCCGCACAGGAGGUAAAAUUUUAAAGUCGCAAGCAUUAUAUUACAUAAGAUCAUUGUUCCAUAUUACAGGACAUGAUAAUAUGAAUGUUUUCAUGGGAAUAUAACAUCCUUCGUACAUUGCUCCGCCACAAGGCGGGAUCCCUCCAGGACACCAUCAAAAUAUAACUCAGGUCGGCGGUGCUCCUUGCCCUCAAGCGGCCCCUCGGUCAUCAGCUUCUUGGCAUCCAUCUUCGCCUAGUGCAUCUUGACACGGGCAAAGGCCAUCUGUGCACCUUCAGUACAGACCGACCACUUUAUGACCUCAAGCCGUGGGUAGGCACUAACAAGCCGCUUCACAAGUCCGAAGUAGCUGCUGGGUAUCGGGGCGGCUGGCCAUAGUCGGACUAUCAGGUCCUUCAUGGCUAGCUCGGCCGCCUUGUGCAGCUCGACCAGUUGUUUCAGCUGGUCGCUGAAGGGCACCGGAUGUUCUGGUCCAAGAUAUUGAGACCAGAACAGCUUCUCCGUAGAACUCCCUUCCUCGGCUCGAUAGAACUCGGCAGCAUCUGAUACACUGCGCGGCAAAUCCGUAAACGCCCCUGGAGAGCUCCAGAUUCGGGUAAGUAAAAGGAACGUCUCCUUCACAGACUUGCUUUGCAUAAUGAAAGCCUUAACCCGCCGCGAUCUUCUUGGCCGCCUGGAUUUCCUGAAGGGCGCUCUGGGCCUCGGCUCGAGCCUCUUGUGCGCUCUGGUGGGCCAUCGCAAGUUCGGACACUUGCAUCUUCGAAUCAUGCUCCAAGGACUCGUACUUCUUGACGGCGUCCUGGAGAUCUUGCUAGACCUCGCUGACCCGGGCCUCGUGCUUCUCGCGCGUGGCACGCUCCUUGGCCGCUUUGUCCUCGGCCUCGGCUAACGGCUUCUUGAGGGCCGCCACCUCGGUUGUGGCCCCUAAUAAAGUUCAUGACGCUUUAGUCAGCACGAAACAUGCAUCCUUCCUAAAUAUACGGGCAGGUUACUGCAUACCUUGGCUGUCCUCCAGCUGCUGCUUCAUGAGGCCGAGCUCUUCUUCGGCCCGCUCCAGGCUCUUCUUCAGGCCGGAGACUUCCGCAGUAUGAGCGGCAGCAUCCAGCAGCGACGCCUGCUUAUUCACACAGACAUCUUAUGUUAGACUCGUGCAAAAAUUAUUUUGAUCCUCUGUUCGGCUUUUUCUUUCCAAACACUGAACAGAGCAUCAGGGGCUACUGUCUACACUAUGAUAUUCUUUCUACAAUUACAUUACUUACCUCAAAGCCUGUUAAAAGGCUACCGUAGGCUUCGGUCAGUCCGCUUUUGGCGGACUGAACCUUCUCGAUCACCGUACCCAUAAGGACAUGGUGUUCAUCCACAAUGGAAGCGCCUCGCAACGCUUCCAGCAGAUUAUCCGGUGCCUCUGGUUGGACAGAGGUCACCGGAGGAACGGACACACCUCCUCCUUGCGGGGAAGGCCAUUCGCUGGACUCCGAGGCCGUGUAGGUCUCCAGAAUGGUAUCCAGUUGGGGGACGAAUGGAACUUGGCCCCCAUCACCAGUCCCCAUGGGGGCUUUCCCCCCCAUGUGUCCGGCGGCCGAGGAGUCAUCCUUGGGCGCCACCCUGACAAUCUCCUGAACCUCCCCCCGGUCUGGGAAGGUCCUUUGGGACACCACCUCGUCAUCACCCUUGGCCGAGACAGAGUGAGCGGGCGGCGGUGACAUGCUAGCCAUCUCCUUUGAAUCUAGCGAACCCUCUGUCGAGGAUCACGGGGAGCUGUCGCGGGCCGGACUGCAAUGGCAUAAUUUAAACAUAUUAAUAUCACAAAGUGGAAAGGCCAGGCAUUUGAAUGUGCAUAAGGUUUUUGGUACUUACGAGGCGGCCCGAGGCUUGGUCCGGGGCAUUCGCUCCGGACUUCUAUCGACAUCCCAUGCGGAGUUAUCCGCAAGGGAGCCCUUCUCCCUCUUGGGCGCCUUCGCCUUCAGAUUUGUGGAGGCCCCCCUUUUCUUCCUUCCCCCCUCAGGGGGGAGUCGCUUUCUUCCUCCUCCUCCUCGUCGUCUUCGGUGGCCGAAGAGUCAGUCUCGUCUUCGGGCGACAUGUCCGAAGCACCCUUUCGGCGAAGGCCACUCCUGGUCCCUUUGGCCGUUUUCUUGGCCAUCUUCUCCGGCACAUCAUAAGGCGCCGGAAAUAGCAUCUUCGUCAGGAGUGGGGUUUCUUCGUCUUCGGGUAGAGGAGCCCGACAAUUAAUCCGCCCCGCUAUGUCGGUCCAGGCCUAAAAAAUUGAUAGGAAGGCUUAGACUCCUUCCUCAAAAUAUGCCAGUAAAGGCUAUACCUUGAAAACAUGAAAGAACUUACCGAAUUAGCCUGGCACUUUAAGCUAAGCCCACGAUCCUCGGUCGUAGGCGGUGGUGUCUCGCCGGCCUUGAAGAGCACUUUCUAGAUGUCUUCGUGCGUCGUGACGAAGAGCUCUAGCAGCGUCUGUUGCUUGGCCGGAUCAAACUCCCACAAAUAGCAAGUCCGGCGUUGGCACGGAAGGAUCACGUUGACAAGUUUCAUCCUCUUGGUUAUCAUCUUCUGGAAGCACAUCUGCAGCCUAGUCAGCUCGUUCCAAGAACCCCAGGUUAGGCCCUUCUCUUGCCAAGAGGUGAGCCGCAUCGGAACUCCGAAUCGGAAUUCGGGGGCCGCCGCCCAGUUGGUGUCGCGCGGCUCGGUGAUGUAGAACCACCCCGAUUGCCACCCCUUCACCAUCUCCACGAAGGAGCCUUCGAGCCAGGUGACAUUGGGCAUCUUGCCCACCAUGGCACCUCCGCAUCUGCUUGUUGGCCGCUCACCACCUUCGGCUUCACAUUGAAGGUCUUCAGCCAUAGGCCGAAGUGAGGUGGGAUGCGGAGAAAGGCCUCGCACACGACUAUAAAUGCCGAGAUGUUGAGGAUAAAGUUGGGGGCUAGAUCAUGGAAGUCCAGCCCGUAGUAAAACAUCAGUCCGCGGACAAACGGGUGGAGAGGGAAUCCCAGCCCGCGAACGAAAUGCGCGAGGAACACAACCCUCUCAUGGGGCUUGGGGGUACGAACAAUCUGUCCCUUGGCCGGAAGUCGGUGAACGAUCUCCUUGGCCAGGUAUCCGGCGUCUCGGAGCUCCUUGAUAUCUUUCUUCUUAACAGAGGAGGCCAUCCACUUGCCUCCAGCUCCGGAUCCGGACAUGGUUGGAGUGCUUCCUCGGGCAGGGAAAGCUAGAGCUUGGGCGCUGGAGCUCAAGAAUGGAUGGGCAGAGGAAGGAGAAGGCGUGGGUGAAUGAGCACGGAUCCUUAUCCCCUUAUAAAGGCCGCGAAUGUCAAACGCCUCCCCACUCGCCUUAAAACUCGCCUAUUCCCAAGGGUUGUGUAAACGGCACGGUUGGGUUACCCACGCCCGUACUGAUAAGAAUCCCGUAAUAAGGGGGCACGAUCUCUGCUUUGACAAGACGUGCCAAUGGCAACCGCGUCUCGAAAUGCGGAGCGGCAGACGAAAAAUGGUUCAAAAUUAUGACCGGACAGAUGUGAUGUCAUGUUACAGAAAGUUGUCAGCUGAUUGGACUCGUGUAAAAUUAAGUUCUCUUUGCAGUUGCGUGUGGUGUGUGUUACAGGUCCGGACAGGAUACGUCCGAAGACUAUUUUGGAGUUCGGAAGGAGGAACCCGCCUUGCAAUACUGAAGACGGACCUACGCGCCAGAUACCUUGUCAUUGAAGCCAGGUUCAGGGGCUACUGAGGGAGUCCUGGACUAAGGGGUCCUCGGGCGUCCGGCCUGUUAGCCAUGGGUCGGACUGAUGGGCUAUGAAGAUAUGAAGACCGAAGACUGCACCCGUGUCCGGAUGGGACUCUCCUUGGCGUGGAAGGCAUGCUUGGCGACCGAAUAUGUAGAUUCCUUUCCUUUGUAACCGACCAUGUGUAAUCCUAGAUCCUCCCGGUGUCUAUAUAAACCGGAGGACUUAGUCCGGAAAGGGGAGACUCAUGACCAUAGUCAUACAGGAUAGGCUUUUAGGGUUUAGCCAUCUCGAUCUCGUGGUAGAUCAACUCUUGUAAUACUCAUAUUCAACAAGAUCAAUCAAGCAGGAAGUAGGGUAUUACCUCCAUAGAGAGGGCCCGAACCUGGGUAAACAUCGUGUCCCUUGUCUCCUGUUACCAUCGACCUUAGCCGCACAUUUCGGGACCCCCUACCCGAGAUCCGCCGGUUUUGACACCGACAGUUCCCAAACAGAAAAUGAAGUUUAUUCCUUUUUCCACCAUACUUUCACUUUACAUGGCUAGCCGUAUCCACGGUUACCCUCCAUACCAACACUUUCCAAGGAAUUUACUGACAACAUAGAGUAAAUUCAUUUUUGCAUUUCUGGACUGGGCAUCCCUAAAACCUUUGCCUUACUCUCAUGCAAUGACAAGUGAAUAAACACUCCUCAUGAGAAUAACACAUCCCAGCAUGGAAAAUAUUAGCCACCCCUCACCGCUCCACGAGCGAAAUGAACACACAAAAGAGAAGUUUAUUUUGAAAAUUAGAGAUGGCACAUGUAAAUUUGCUUAGAACGGCAAAAGAAUACCGCAUAUAGAUAGAUAUAGUGGACUCAUGUGGCAAAACUGGUUUAAAGGAUUUUGGAUGCACAAGUAGAGAUCAUACUUGGUGCAAAAUGAAGGCGAGCAAAACAUUGGUAAGCGACCAACCAAGAAACGAAUAAUCUCAUAAUGAAGCAUUAAGCAUAAUUAACACCGAAUAAUGCACCACAAGUAGGAUAUAAUUUCAUUGCAUGACUAUUGACUUUCGUGCUUGCAUAGGGAAUCACAAACCUUAACACCAAUAUUCUUACUAAAGCAUAAUAACUCAUCAACAUAACUCACAUAUCACAUCAUCAUAUCUCAAAACUAUUACUAAGAAUCAAGUUUAUUUUUUCCAAUGAUCUCCAUGAAAUUUUUUAUUAUAUCCUUCUUGCAUAUCUAUCACUUUGGGACUAAUUUUCAUGUGUUGCUUUUCAUAAGCUCAAACAAAUAUAAGUGAAGAUCAGGAGCAUAAAAUUCUAAGUGAAGCAAGGGAGCAUUUCUUCAAAAAUACUAAAGCACACCGUGCUCAAAAAGAUAUAAGUGAAGCACUAGAGCAAGUCCAUAGCUCAUAAAAUAUUUAAGUGAAGCAUAGAGAGAAAUUCUAACUAGUCAUGACAUAAUUUUGGCUCUCUCAAAUAGGUGUGUCCAGCAAGGAUUGAUGACUUAAAACACAAAGUAAAACAAGCAAAGACUCAUAUCAAACAAGACGCUCCAAGCAAAACACAUAGUAUGUGACGAAUAAAAAUAUAGCUUCGAGUAAAAUACCGAUGGUCGUUAGAAGAAAGAGGGGAUGCCACUCGGGGGCAUCCCCAAGCUUAGUUGGUUGCUCAUUUUUGGAUAAUAGCUUGGGAUGCAGGGGCAUCCCCAAGCUUAGGCUCUUCUAUCCUUCCCUCGUCCAUCGUAAGAUAACCCAAAACUUGAAAACUUCAAUCACACAAAACUCAACAAAAACCUUCGUGAGACCCGUUAGUAUAAGAAAGCAAACCACUACUAUAAGUACUGUAUCAAACCAAUUCAUAUUUUGUUUUUGCAUUAUAUCUACUGUAUUCCAACUUUUCUAUGGCAAAAACUCAUGAAAGAAAACCAUAGAGCCAUCAAAAUAGGCACACAAUACAAAGAAAACAGAAUCUGUCAAAACAGAACAGUCUGUAGCAAUCUGACUGUUUCGAAUACUUCUGUAACUCCAAAAUUCUGAAAAAAUAGGACGACCUGGGUAAUUUGUGUAUUAAUCUGCUGCAAAAAUAAUUGGCAUCUUAUCACGUUCUGGUGAUUUUUAACAAUUGUUUUCGUGAGUGCACAAGUUUCUGUUUUUCAGCAAGAUCAAACAAUUAUCACCCGAGAAGAUCCUAUAGGCUUUACUUGGCACAAACACUAAUUAAAACACAAAAAACACAAUCAUACCAUUAGCAUAAUUGUGCAAACACACAAGAACAGAAAGCAAAAAAGCAAAAAUAAAUUGUAUUCAUUGGGUUGCCUCCAAACAAGCGCUAUAGUUUUACGCCCUUAGCUAGGCAUAAAGCAAGGAUCUAAGUAUUGUCAUCUUUGGUUCGAGAUCCAGAAGAUGCCCUAAUGAUUGAUUCAUAAGGUGGCUUAAUUCUUGUUCUAGGAAAUUGUUCCAUACCUUUCCUGAAAGGAAAUUGGAACUUAAUAUUGCUUCUUUCAUAUCAAUCACGGCACCGAUAGCGCGUAAAAAGCGGUCUACCAAGAAUAAUUUGACAAGAUGGAUUGCAAUCAAUAUCAAGAACAAUAAAAUCUAUGGGCACAUAAUUCCUAUUUGCAAGAAUAAGAACAUCAUUAAUUCUUCCCAUAGGCUUUUUAAUAGUAGAAUCCGCCACGUGCAAAUUCAAAGAACAUUCUUCAAGAUUAGUAAGAUCAAGCACAUCACAUAAAGAUUUCGGAAUUGUAGAAACACUAGCACCCAAGUCACACAAAGCAAAACACUCAUAAUUUUUAAUCUUUACUUUGAUAGUAGGUUCCCAUUCAUCAUGUAAUUUUCUAGGAAUUGAUACUUUUAAUUCCAAUUUUUCUUCAAAAGCUUUCAUCAUUGUGAUACGUCUCCAACGUAUCUAUAAUUUUUUAUUGUUCCAUGCUAUUAUAUUAUCUGUUUUGGAUGUUUAAUGGGCUUUAAUAUGAUCUUUUAUAUUAUUUUUGGGACUAACCUAUUAACCGGAGGCCCAGUGCCAGUUUCUGUUUUUUUUUGCCUAUUUUAGAGUUUCACAGAAAAGGAAUACCAAACGGAGUCCAAACGGAAUGAAACCUUCGUGAUGAUCUUUCUUGGACCGAAGGCAAACCAGAAGACUUGGAGUUGAAGUCUGGAACUCCGCGAGACAGCCACGAGGCAGGAGGGCACGCCCAGGGGGGUAGGCGCGCCACCACCCUCAUGGGCCCCUCGUAGCUCCACCGGCGUACUUCUUUCGCCUAUAUAUACUCUUAUACCCUAGAAACAUCAGGGAGACCCAUGAAACCACUUUUCCCCCGCCGCAACCUUCUGUAGACGUGAGAUCCCAUCUUGGGGCCUUUUCCGGCAAUCUGUCGGAGAGGGAAUCAAUCACUUAGGGCUUCUACAUCAACACCAUUGCCUCUCCGAUGAAGCGUGACUAGUUUACCACCGACCUUCCGGUCCAUAGUUAUUAGCUAGAUGGCUUCUUCUCUCCCUUUGAUUCUCAAUACAAAGUUCUCCUCGAUGUUCUUGGAGAUCUAUUCGAUGUAAUACUCUUUUGCGGUGUGUUUGCCAAGAUCCGAUGAAUCGUGGAUUUAUGAACAAGUUUAUCUAUGAAUAUUAUUUGGUUCUUCUCUGAAUUCUUAUAUGCAUGAUUUCAUAUCUUUGCAAGUCUCUUCGAAUUAUCGGUUUAGUUUGGCCUACUAGAUUGAUCUUUCUUGCAAUGGGAGAAGUGCUUAGCUUUGGGUUCAAUCUUGCAGUGUCCUUUCCCAAUGAUAGUAGGGGCAGCAAGGCACGUAUUGUAUUGUUGCCGUCGAGGAUAAAAAGAUGGGGUUUAUAUCAUAUUGCUUGAGUUUAUCCCUCUACAUCAUGUCCUUGCUUAAUGUGUUACUCUGUUCUUAUGAACAUAAUACUCUAGAUGCAUGCUGGAUAGCGGUCGAUGUGUGGAGUAAUAGUAGUAGAUGCAGAAUAGUUUCCUUAAUGGUCUACUUGACACAGACGUGAUGCCUAUAUUCAUGUUCAUUUCCUUAGAUAUCUUCAUAACUAUGUGACUUUCUAUCAAUUGCUCGGCAGUAAUUUGUUCACCCACCGUAAUACAUGCUAUCUUGAGAAAAGCCACUAGUGAAACCUAUGGCCCCCGGGUCUCUUUUCUAUUAUAUUUCAUCUCUUUUAUUUACAUCGCAUCUCUUUUACUAUUUUGCAAUCUUUACUUUCCAAUCUAUACAACAAAAAUACCAAAAAUAUUUACUUUACUAUCUUUAUUAGAUCUCACUUUUGCGAGUGACCGUGAAGGGAUUGACAACCCCUUUAUCGCAUUGGUUGCAAGGUUCUUGAUUGUUUGUGCAGGUACUAGGUGACUUGUGUGUUGUCUCCUACUGGAUUGAUACCUUGGUUCUCAAAAACUGAGGGAAAUACUUACGCUACUUUGCUGCAUCACCCUUUCCUCUUCAAGGGAAAACCAACGCAUGCUCAAGAGGUAGCAAGAAGGAUUUCUGGCACCGUUGCCAGGGAGAUCUACGCCAAGUCAAGACAUACCAAGUACCCAUCAUAUACACUUCUCCCUCGCAUUACAUUAUUUGCCAUUCACCUCUCGUUUUCCUCUCCCCCACUUCUAAAACGAUUUUCGAAAACCUUUGCCUUUUCUUCGCCCCUCUUCCAUUCGCCUCUUUCGCUUGCUUCUUGUGUGCUUGUGUGUUGGAUUGCUUGUUUGUCACGAUGGCUCAAGAUAAUACUAAAUUGUGUGACUUUUUCAAUACCAACAACAAUGAUUUUAUUAGCACUCCGAUUGCUCCUAUUAUCGAUGCUGAAUCUUGUGAAAUUAAUACUGCUUUAUUGAAUCUUGUUAUGAAAGAUCAAUUUUCUGGCCUUCCUAGUAAGAUGCCGCUACCCAUCUAAACAACUUUGUUGAUUUGUGUGAUAUGCAAAAGAAGAAACAUGUGGAUAAUGAUAUUGCUAAAUUGAAGCUAUGUCCGUUUUCUCUUAGAGAUCGUGCUAAAACUUGGUUCUCUUCUUUGCCUAAAAAUAGUAUUGAUUCAUGGAAUAAGUGCAAAGAUGCUUUUAUUUUAAGUAUUUUCCUCCCGCUAAGAUCAUCUGUCUUAGGAAUGAUAUUAUGAAUUUUAAGCAACUUCAUCAUGAGCAUGUUGCACAAGCUCGGGAGAGGAUGAAAUUAAUGAUACGUAAUUGCCCUACACAUGGUUUGAAUUUAUGGAUGAUUAUACAAAAAAUUUAUGCCGGAUUGAAUUUUGCUUCUAGAAAUCUUUUCGAUUCGGCCGCGGGAGGCACUUUUAUGGAAAUCACUUUAGGAGAAGCUACUAAACUCCUAGACAAUAUUAUGGUUAAUUAUUCUCAAUGGCACACCGAAAGAUCCACUAGUAAAAAGUUCAUGCGAUUGAACAGAUUAAUGUUUUGAGUGGAAAGAUGGAUGAACUUAUGAAAUUGUUUGCUAAUAAAAGUGUUGCUUGUGAUCCUAAUGAAAUGCCUUUGUCCACUUUGAUUGAGAAUAAUAAUGAAUCUAUGGAUGUGAAUUUUGUUGGUAGGAACAAUUUUGGUAACAACGCGUAUAGAGGAAACUUUAAUUCUAGGUCGUUUCCUAGUAAUUCCUCUAAUAAUUGUGGUAAUUCCUACAACAACUCUUAUGGAAAUUUUAAUAAGAUGCCCUCUAAUUUUGAUACUACUGUUAAAGAAUUUAUGAGUUCGCAAAAGAAUUGUAUUGCUUCGGUUGAAGAAAACUUGCUUAAGAUAUAUGAUUUGGCUAGGAACGUGGAUAGAAUUUCUCUUGAUGUUGAUUCUUUGAAACUUAGAUCUAUUCCACCUAAGCAUGACAUCAAUGAGUCUCUCAAAGCCAUGAGAAUUUCUAUUGAUGACUGCAAAGAAAGAACCGCUAGGUUGCGUGCUAAAAAAGAUUGCUUUGUGAAAGCGUGUUCUUCUAGUUUUCAUGAUAAUAAUGAUGAAGAUCUAAAUGUGAUUGAUGUGACUCCUAUUAAAUCUUUUUUUUCCAAUAUGAAUCUUGAUAAAGAUGGGACUGGAUAUGAGUCAACUUUAGUUAAAAGGCGUCCCAAUGAUUCGGAGUUUUUAGAUCUUGAUGCAAAAAUUUAUAAAAGUGCGACUGAAGAGGUCAAAACUUUACAUAGCAAUGAACCCACUAUUUUGGAUUUCUAGGAAUUUAAUUAUGAUAAUUUCUCUUUGAUAGAUUGUAUUUCCUUGUUGCAAUCCGUGUUAAAUUCUCCUCAUGCUUAUAAUCAAAAUAAAGCUUUUACUAAACAUAUCAUUGAUGCUUUAAUGCAAUCCUAUGAAGAAAAGCUUGAACUAGAAGUUUCUAUCCCUAGAAAACUUUAUGAUGAGUGGUAACCUACUAUUAAAAUUAAUA
rnacentral:lncRNA from 1 species